rnacentral:lncRNA from 1 species
GAUCGACGUUGCCACAACUCAUCCCCUCACCUGAUCUCGUCGCAAUUCUAGUAGUAGGCAUAUGCAUGUAGUUCAGGAUCACUCGUGCACUAUGGAGCUGAGCGGCAGGGCCGCAGCACCAACGGAGUCAUGGCAGGCGCCGCUCUGGCAGCCCUUGCCGCAGAACUGAACGCCGAGGCCGCAGUAUCCAUACCGGCUGCAGCAGAAGUUGCUCAGGCACGGCUUGUCGGCGUUGCACUUGAUGUUGGCGCGGCAAGGCCCGUUCUGGCAGCCGUCGCCGCAGUACUCCUGGCCGAAGCCGCAGUACCCGUCGCCGCUGCAGCAGUGGUUGUUGGGGCACGUCACCGCGUUCGCCCCGGCCUGGGCGCCGCAGCGUUUGCUCUUGUAGCAGGCGCCGCUCUGGCAGCCGUCGCCGCAGUAGUUGGAGUCCAUGCCGCAGUACCCCCACGCGCUGCAGCAGAGGUUGUUGGGGCACUCCAUGCCGUCGGCCUGUUGGCCGCACUGCUCGGCGUGCGCGCCCGCCACGGCGAUGGCGAGGACGACUACAGCGCCGAGUGUGAGGGCCUUAGUGCUCAUCAUCUUCUUCCUGUCAGUUGGCUUGUGGUGGAUCUAGUACUGGUUGUGUGUGAGUAAACGGGUGGUGAUCUCCUCCCUUUAUAUAGGCAGGGUCAGGUUCUGGUUCAGUUCAGUUUCUUAGUUGUGGCAUCUCUUGCCAAGAAAAGAAAAAUGCAAGUCCACACCUUCGUUCCCCCGGCUGUUGCAGCUCUCCAUGUGCCUUUGAGAUUCGUGUUUUCUCGGAAUACAACACCUCAACAUUACCUAUUACUAGCAAAAGAGCCCGUGCGUUGCAACGGAAGAGAAAAUAACACACGUUCUGAACGCAAUAUAUUUUCACAUGUCAUCAUAUUUGUGUUGCCGACGAUGGCUUUAGUGCUCACACAAUGAAAACGCGUUUGAAUAUACAGUCACUCAAAAUAAGAUGAGAAAUAUGUUGUUUCUCCCCACGAGGUUUUCCAAAGGUGUGCAUGUGUUGUUAGCGAUGUUUUCUUUCCUCUCAAUUUAGUUUUAAUUUAAUGGAUGUUUAUUGCAAUUCGUAUCGUCGCCGGAAAGAGAGAGAAAAAUGACGUGCACUACAGAUUAAGUUUGCACAAAAAUAAUAUUUAAGAAGUAUUCAACAGCUAAAAAUAACAUCCUAUUUAGACUCUACACAUUUUUUUAAUCAAAUUUCAUAUAUAAAAUGUUAAAAUCAGAGUUACGGUUUAAAAGAUAUGGAUAAUUUUGUUUUAGAUAAAAUGUGGAUUGAUUAAGUGAAAAGUUAGGUUUUUUUUGUUAAAAUACGGAGGGCGGAUUGAUUACCUGAAACAUCAGGGGGUUUCAAAAAAAAAUGCAAAAAAAAGGUUCGUUUUCUGACUUAAAUCCGGACUGCGGGUUGAUUACCUGAAACAUCAGGGGAUUUUCUGAAAAAUGCAAAAAAAGAUUUGUUUUUGACUCAAAAAAGGACUGCGGGUUAAAUACUGAAAAAGCGAGGGGCAUUUUUACAAAAUGACCGCAAUGGACGGCAAAAGCGCUCCGCGCUUUAUUAUUAGAAAGAGAAUAAAACGUCUAUGCGUUGUGAGGGGCCUUCAGUUGUAUAAAACAUGAUGAAGUUUUUACGUCUUUUAGCGCCAUCGCCUCAACACACUGUUGAUAGUUUCUUUUUAAACGUCAACAUAAUGCAUCUUCACAUAAUGCAUCUUCGUCUCUCUCAUAUUGUACAAAAGUAAAUAUAUAUAGAAACACAUCUUUUUUAUCAUGCGCUACAAAUUUGUUAUUUCAAUUUAAAUAUGUAAAGAACAAUUAUUUUUAUACAUCUCUUUUGAUGGUUAAAACUUAAUAAUUUUUGGUAUGAUCCAUUACAAAAAUGACUUGUUAGGGUAAUAUACAAGUAUGUGACAUUUCUCUUACAGCAAACAAUCGCUUUCCAAAAAAAACAAUGCUUCUUUUCUUCUUAUUGAAAAAAGCAAUUCAUUUUCUCAUUCUCCCACCGCAUGGCACAACGCUCACAUUGACAUCUCAUACCCCCCAUCUUGCUCUUGUCGUUGAUGUUGUUGGAAUAAAAACACACGGCGGUGUUCAGCCCGCACCUUCCUCUCAGCUAAACCCGUUCAUGGACAACCCGGUCCGGAGGCCCGAACCCGAAGCCCGACAUACGGGCCGCGCUCGGGCUCCACUUUCUUGCCCGAAGCCCGUCCCAAAAGCCCGAAAAAUACGUAUACACUUUUUAUUUGAAAUAUAGAUAAAAUAAAUUAAUAUAAUAUUUUGGAUAAAAUAAAUUUAUUUAAAAACACUGUUCAUGUACUUCUGGCCGGCCUGGGCUCAGGGUUGGAAUUUUUUUCGGACUUUAGAAGGGUCCAUCCUAAAUAAAACUAAUAGUCUUGCGGACGCCAUAACACUUCUAAUACUUGAACUUGAGAGACAAUUUGUUCAUAUGCAUCCUUGCAUACAAAGGAUUUUCCUUGAGUUCUCUAAUAUUCAGCUUGCUUUCGUUAAAGGUGUCGCCACUAUAUUUCUAGCCCACGAAUUUAGAUUCAUUAUGAAAGAGGCUAAUAAAUUUUUGCUCAUUAUAAAAUUAAUGGUUGAUGUCCCCCCAUUGAGGAGAUCCUUUUUAACCGAGAAGAAAUAAUGAGAUUGCAGUCCCCGGAUUGUGUGGCUUAUAAUGAAAUUUUGAAAAAAGGGUUCCUAUUGAGGUUUUGGUUGAUAGAAUUUCUGAACUCAAUGAUGAUUUUGCUAUACAAAAUAAUGGAUUAGAUUUCAUACUAAGAGAUAAACUUAUGACCUUUCGCCAAAGGAAAGCCUACAAUGAUGAAUUAAUCAUACACUAUAGAGGGCCGAAGGAGGAACCUAUUCCUCCCGCACUCGAUCUUAAUGAUCCUUAUCCUAUUAAAUUUAGACCUUUUGAUUACUUUUGGUUGCCACAAAGGAAACUUGCUACUGAAAGAAGGGAGUAUGAGAAGAGCAUCGAUAAUCUCCCUUACUAUUAUGAUAAUACCUAGAUCUAUUGGGUUAUGCCUGGCUAGGGAGUUAAAAAAUAGCGCUUAUUGGGAGGCAACCCAAUUUUAUUUAUUUUUAUUUUGUUUUUGUUUUUGUUUUUGUUUCCUGCACAUAUUAUUACUUAUGUAAUAAUUGUGUUUUCUUGUUUUAAUUUGUGUUUGAGCCAAGUAAAACCUUUGGGAUGGUCCACGGUGUUUGCAAGUUGAUUCUGGUGAAAAACAGAAACUUUUGCCCUCAGUCCAGGAAUUUUAUAAAUUCCCUAAAAACGUGCUUUUGAUCUAAAUGUUUUUACAAAAGAUUGGUUUACUAAUUUCCCAGAUUGUUUCAGAAUUUUUGGAGUUACGAAAGUUACAGAAUGUUUCAGAAUUUUUGGAGUUACAGAAGGAUUCGAAGUAAACAGAUUGCUAUAGAUUGUUCUGUUUUUUGACAUAUUCUGUUUUCUUUGUGUUGUUUUCUUAUUUUGAUGAAUCUAUGGGUUGUAUUGGGAGGUAUGAACCAUGGAGAAGUUGGAAUACAGUAAAUAUUACAUCAAUAUAAAUAAAGAAUGAGUUCACAAUAGUACCUAAAUGGGAAUUUAUUUUUCUUAGACUAACGGAUCUCAUGAGUUUUCUGUUGAGUUUUGUGUUGUGAAGUUUUCAAGUUUUGGGUAAAGAUUUGAUGUACUACGGAAUAAGGAGUGGCAAGAGCCUAAGCUUGGGGAUGCCCAAGGCACCCCCAAGCUAUAUUCAAGGAUACCAAAGAUCCUAAGCUUGGGUAUGCCCCGGAAGUCAUCCCCUCUUUCAUCUUCAAUCCAUCGGUAAAUUUACUUGAGGCUAUAUUUUUAUUCACCACAUGAUAUGUGUUUUGCUUGGAGCGUCUUGUAUGAUAUGAGUCUUUACUUUUUAGUUUGCCAUAUAACUAGUGGAUUAAAUCUUUUGCACAACCACUUAGUUUUCUUUUUGAGAUUUCAUACACUUAUAGCUCUAGUGCAUUUGUUGCAUGACAAUCCCUACUCACUCACAUUGAUAUCUAUUCGUUGACAUCUCCAUAGCCCGUCGAUAUGCCUAGUUGAUGUGAAACUAUCUUCUUCCUUUCUUUUUGCAACCUCCACCACAUUCUAUUCCACCUAUAGUGUUAUAUCCAUGGCUCACACUCAUGUAUUGCAUGAGAGUUGAAAGGCUUUGACAACAUAAAAAGUGUGAAACAAUUGCUUGAUUUUCAUUGGGGUUGUGCAUGAUUUAGAUACGUUGUGUGGUGAAGAUGGAGCAUAGCCAGACCAUAUGAUUUUGUUGGGAUAACUUUCUUAGACCAUGUUAUUUUGAAAGGAAGCAAUUGCCUUAUUAGUAUGCUUUAAAUAUUAUUGUUUUUAUGUCAAUAUUAGACUUUUAUUUUGAGUAUUAUGGAUCUGAAUAUUCAUGGCACAUUAGAGAAUAUUACAUGGAUAAAUAUGUUAGGUAGCAUUCCACAUCAAAAAUUCUGUUUUUAUCAUUUACCUACUCGGGGACUAGCAGGAAUUAAUCUUGGGGAUGCUGAUACGUCUCCAACGAUCUAUAAUUUUUGAUUAUUCCAUGCUAUUAUAUUAUAUGUUUUGGAUGUUUUAUAUGCAUUUAUAUGUUGUGUUAUAAUAUUUUUGGGACUAACCUAUUAAUCUAGAGCCUAGUGCCAGUUUCUGUUUUUUCCACGUUUUUGAAUAUUGCAGAUAAGGAAUAUUAAACGGAGUCCAAAUGGAAUAAAAUCUCCGGAAAUAUUUUUCUUGGACUAAAAGACACGCAACAGACUUGGAUUAGGGGGCAAGGCAGUUGCUGGGAGGCCACAAGCCUACAAGGCGUGCCCUGGGGGCUGGGAGGCCACAAGCCUGCAAGGCCGCGCCGCUUGGCUUGUGGGACCCCUACAAUUCUCCUAACCCUAAUUCUUGUCCUAUAAAUUCCCAAAUAUUCCUGUAUCGCCAAAAAGAGCCACGAAAAUACUUUUAUGCCGCCGAGAGCCUCUGUUUUCGAGAGAUCCAAUCUAGGAGCCUUUUCGGUAAUCUGCCGGAGAGGGGAUUGAUCAGGGAGGGCAUCUACAUCAAGUCCAUUGCCCCUCCGAUAAAGCGUGAGUAGUUCACCACAGACCUACGGGUCCAUAACUAGUAGCUAGACGACUUAUUCUCUCUCUUUGAUCUUCAAUACCAUGUUCUUCAUGAUCUUCAUGGAGAUCUAUCUGAUGUAAUACUCUUUUGUGGUGUGUUUGUCGAGAUCCGGUGAAUUGUGAGUUUAUGAUUCAGAUUAUCUAUGGACUUAUUUGAGUCUCUUCUGAAUUCUUACAUGCAUGAUUUCAUAUCUUUGCAAGUCUCUUCGAAUUAUUGGUUUGGUUUGGCUAACUAGAUUGGUAGUUCUUGCAAUGGGAGAAGUGCUUACUUUUGGGUUCAAUCUUGAGGUGUCCUCACCCAGUGACAGUAGGGGUAACGAGGCAUGUAUUGUAUUGUUGCCAUCAAGGGUAAAAAAGAUGGGGUUUUCAUUAUAUUGCUUGAGUUUAUCUCUCUACAUCAUGUCAUCUUACUUAAUGCGUUACUCUGGUCUUCAUGAACUUAAUACUCUACACGCAGGCAGGAGUUGGUUGAUGCGUGGAGUAAUAGUAGUAGAUGCAAAAUCGUUUCGGUCUACUUGAUACAGACGUGAUGCCUAUAUGCAUAAUCAUUGCCUUAGAUAUCUUCAUGAUUAUUCGCUUUUCUAUCAAUUUCUCGACAGUAAUUUGUCCACCCACCGUAUUAUUUUCCUUUAUGAGAGAAGCCUCUAGUGAAACCUAUGGCCCCGGGGUCUAUUUUCCAUAUCAUAUUUUUAGAUCUAUAAACCAAAAAUACCAAAAAUCCUUUGUUGUAAUUUAUUUACUUUAGUUUUACUUUCAGAUCUAUCAAUAUUUUAUAUCUAUCUCUAUCAGAUCUCAUCCUUGCAAAUAACUCUGAAGGGAUUGACAACCCCUUUAUAGCGUUGGGUACAAGUGUUUGAUAUUUGUGCACGUACUACUAUUGGAGCCUUGCUUGUUCCUCCUACUGGAAUGAUACCUUGGUUCUCAACAAACUGGGGAAAUACUUAUCUACUUUGCUGCAUCACCCUUUCCUCUUCAAGGGAAAACCAACACAAGCUCAAGAGGUAACAGGCCGCCAUGUGCUCGUCCUUGGGUUUGCACUUCUUGUUGGAGAAGUUGACGAGGAGCUUGUAUUCCCCCUUCACAAUGAGGCGCUUGACACCAAGAGCUGAGGCAGCCUUGAGGCCGAUGAAUAGGACUUCGUAGUCAGCAAUGUUGUUGGAAACCUUCAUGUUGUGCCUGAAGCACAACUGGACUACUUAAUAAAGCAUGUCUCCUUUCAAUGAAGUAAGCACCACGCCAGCCCCCGCGUCCUGCAUGGAGAAGGCGCCAUCAAAGCGCAUGACCCAGCUGCAAGGCGCUUCGUCCCCCGAUAGGGUGGAUUCGCCCUCGCGGGGCUCCUCUUCGCUUGGGCCCAUCCAAUCAAAGACGAAGUCCACCACGGACGCACCCUUGAUGACCCUAGUGGUGCAGAAUUCUAGCUCGAAGGCUUGCAACUCGAUGUUCCACUCGGCGACCCUGCCAACGGCGCUAGGGCUGCGCAGGAUCUACUCUAAGGGAUAUGUAGAGAUAACCUUGAUCGGGUGACCCUGGAAGUAGUGGUACAUCUUCCUGGAGGCGACGAGGAGCGCGAGGAGGAGCUUGUACUGCAUGGGAUAACGCUUGCGUGCAUCCCUUAGUAUUGUACUCACAUAGUACACGGGGUGCUCCACGUGCCUUGUGAUCGUGGUGUCGUCAUCGCACCCGUCGAGGGGCUCAUGAGGUGAAGCCACGGGGGCUUCCAAAGGCGCGGCGUCCCAGGUCUCGGAGCCUCCUACGGUGAGGCAGUCUCCCGAGGGAAGGCGUCCCUUGGGAGGAGGGUAGCCUCGUGAGAAUGGACGCCUCCUAGAGUGGGGCGGACUCUAGAGGGGGACUCGUGCUUAGCUCCGAUGGGGCCCGUGCAAGCCCCUGCAGCGCGAGCUGGGUGGCCUCCUGCUACUUCUUGGGGCGAGCAGGGCCUUCCUACUCCACCACGAGGGUCGUGCUCGACGUCUGAGGGGUUGGUGCCAGGUCAACAGCACGCGCUCGCGAGGUCGUGGUGCGACCAUGAUGGGGGGGCUCAUGAGGUCCCGUUUGAUGUCCGCGAAGGUCGUGUCCGCCUCAGGGGUCCCUGCAAAUGGGCCCAAACUUUUCAUCAGCUUGAAUAACGGCAAUGCCCGCUCGCUGAACUUGGAGAUGAAGCGCGUGAGGGAGGCUAGGCACCCCGCCACCUUCUGCAUUUCCUUGAGGGUUCGGGGAGGGCGCAUCUGCUCGAUGGACUUGACCUUCUCUACGUUUGCUUCUAUCCCUCGAUGCGACACAAGGAAGCCUAAGAUCUUGCCAGAGGGGACCCUGAAGACACACUUGUCGGGUUGAGCUUUAGGUUGACCUUUCACAAAUUGGUGAAAGUUUCCUCCACGUCCUCGAUGAGCGUCCUAGCCUCACGCGUCUUGGCCAUGAUUUCGUCAACAUAAGCCUCGGUGUUCAUCCCAAGCUGGGCCCUAGCGCAAUCUGCAUUAGCCGUUGGAAGGUGUCACCCACUCUCUUCAGGCCGAAGGUCAUGCUCACAUAGCAGAACAUCCCUCAAGGGGAGACGAAGGUUGUCUUUUCCACAUCUUUUCCCGCCAUCUUGAUCUUAUGGUGGCCCGAGAAGGCGUGCAAGAAGCACAGUAGAUCGCAGCAGGCGGUGGAGUCCAUGAUCUCGUCGAUGCAUGGGAGCGGGAAAGGGUCCACUGGACAGGCCUUGGUGAGGUUGGUGAAGUCAACACACAUCCGCUCCUUUCCGCCCUUCUUGGGGAUGAUGACAUGGUUAGCGAGCCACUCCAGGUAGCGCACCCCGCGGAUGACCCCGGCCUCCUGCAGCUUCUGGACUUCCUGCACGAUGAAGUGCUGCUUUUUCGGUGCUUGGUGUCGCACCUUCUGCUUGACAGGGCACGCGUUGGGGCACAACGCCACGUGAUGCUCGAUCAUGUGCCUCGGCACCCCGGUUAGGUCGGUCGCCUUCCACACGAACACAUCCGUGUUUUCCCUGAGGAAGGCGAUGGGCGCGAUCUCUUGCUCCGGAGGGAGGUCGACACCAAUGGUGAAGGUGGGACCUGAGCCGCUGUCAUUUAGCGGCACCUUCUUCAUCUUGGUCUGGUCUUCCGCGAACUACAAUUUCUUUCUCGUCGGGUCCACCUCAGGAGGCACCGCCUCGCCCCCGUCGGCCGCACACACAACUGUCGGGGCUUUGCGCAUUUGCUUGAGGCAGCUCACGGCGUCCCUCUCGUCGCAUCUGAUGGUCAGGACACCGCUGCUGCCGGGGAUCUUGAUGAUGUUGUAACCCGGAUGAGUCGCCGCUAUGAACCUCGCGAACGUAGGGUACCCCAGGAUGGCGUUGUACGGGAGGCCGACGUACGCCACAUCAAAGUCAACGAGCUCGGUGCGGUAGUUGGAGCGAGUGUCUAAGGUGACGGAGAGACGUAUCUGGCUGGAUGGGCCGCAGUCUCGUGGACCACCCUAGAGAACGAUGAGGUAGGCUUCAACUGGCCGUAAGGCACCUGGAGUGCCUUGAAAACCGCGACGGAGAAGAUGUUGAGCCCGGAGCCCCCGUCGAUGAAGGUCUUGGUGACGGCGACCCCGCCGAUGGUGGGGGUGCACACCAUGGGGAGAGCACCUGAGGCUACCAAAGACCCGAGGCGGUCCUCCGCACCGAAGGUGAUGCCGGUAGCGCCCUAGCAGGCCCGGGAGCGGCCCCUCGAAGCCCCAUGUUCUGUCACCCCUCGAGAGCCGCGCCCAUCCUGCGGAAGGUUGGCUUGGAGUGUCGGACAUCGCCCGGUGCCUGGGUUCUUCCCACGAUGCAUGCGACCUCGCACCAUCCCCGGCGCGCCGCGGUACCACCGUCAUCCAGGGGCGGGUGAAGCUGACGCAUGCCUGGGCCAAUGCCUCAGGAGAUGCGCUCUGUAUCUCCCGCAUGCAUUAGCAAGUGGCAAGGCGGUGGGGGAAGCGCCGUGGCCCCUCCGGGAACGGCGGUGAGCCUGACGCGCCGGCCCUGCCCGGCGACGGGCCCUGCGCACGCUAGUUGAGGACGGAGGAGCUCGCGUGCCCUGCGCAGUGAGGUGUGGGCGUUUGGCUCUCCGCGCUCGGCGCGAUGGAGGCGGGCCACAGCGCAACCGUUGUCCUGCUGCCUAGAAAGACGCGAAGGAACCUCCUGUCCCUGGGCGACGGGUCCAUCCAAGGCGGUGGUGCUGACGCACCGAGCGACCGCCUGCUCGGCGUGCGGAUGGUGGGCGCCCGCCAUGGAUUCGGUGAAGUCUUAGUCGAAACCGGAGUCGGAGAACGGCUGCGCACCCCUACCCGGCGUGCCAAAUGUCGAAAUCGAGGCUCUGCGGACCCCGGGAGAGGUUUGAACUCUACGGUGCACUUGCUCUCCAACCCUGUUCUACCUCUCAACUUCAUAGCGACUCUCCAGCGGCUCAACCUAAGGAAAGCUAACGGGAACACACGGCAGUUUACCCAGGUUCGAGCGACCUUGAAGUGUAAAACCUUACGCGUGCUUGUUUUGGAUUGCUUGAUGUGGAAUACGAGUGCAAAUGUGGGUUUUUGCCCUAGGGGAGAGGAUGACGCUCGGAUCCCUGCUACGGAGGCUGGGCCUCUCUUUUAUACCGACCUUGGUCGUCUUCCCCCGAAAACACAAUUGGCGAGAAGGGUUGCCACAACGACCAUUUUGAAAGGGGACAGGACUGCGGCCCGUCCUGACAAAGGUGGUCUUCGCCUGCAAAAGCCCUUCUCCAUGACUCGCUGGUGGGCUCGGGGGUGACCUUCGUCUCGCCGAGCCCCCAGCCUUGGUCCUCUUGCACCGAUCAGGAAACCUUUGGGAGAUGCUUCGGGGCCUGCCAGCUCGCCUCGCUUCCUUAGCACGAAAGCGGAAAGCUCUCCUUCCCAUGCCUGCUGGCACCGCUCCUGCGCUGCCUACGCAACUUGCGUCACCUACGUGGGGCGUUGACCGUGGGGCCCUGCCAGGCUGCCCUCGGUGAGUCUGCCUCGCGAGGGCCUCGGGGGUAGCCUCGGGGCGCAUCCUCGCAGAGAGAGCCCUUGAAUAGUCCUUGACGAUGACCCUCUUAUGCUUGCCUCGCGAGGGUCUUCCUCGUUUAGCCCGCCGAUGGGCCGCGCCGGGUAUGAACGGCCGUGCGGCGCCUGGGGCCAUAGGCCGACGGGCCUGGGUACCGCCGCUCCCAUGGACCCGACAGUUACAUCAUCAAAUAUAUAUCAUUUAUUGAAGUUGGCUCUUUUUUAAGAUGUAAAAAAACUUUUUUUCAUGAUGUAAAUAGUACAACACCGACCUUUAAUACUUUAAAUUUACAUCAUCUGUUGAAGAUGCUCUAAAUUUCUCUAUUUGUUCUGAGAUAUGAGUUUUAGAAAAUCACACAGGACUAAUAUCUUCAUUCGAAAUAGAUAGGAAAAAAAAUGUUGAUUCCUUUUUUGCUUUUUCUUUUUAGCAAAUCAUUUUUUUCAUUCUAAAAAUCUUGCCAUGCAUAUGUAUACACAUAGGCGACAUUAGUUAACCUGAUUGAAGAGGUUGUUAAUGCAUGCAUGGAUGUAUGGGCGCCCACAUGUUUUUGACGUGAUUCCAAAAAAUUCCGUUCUUGGUAGAUGUGGCAGUACGUACGAUCUGUACUUGCUGAUAACUUGUUUAGCUAGGCUAGCAUGAGCCAUGCAUGCAUGCAUGGAGCACGAGGCAUUAGAGUACUUGGGAAUGUACACAUAUGCAUGUGAAAACGUAUACGUGCUCAUCAGCCACGUCCGUCGAUCGUCCUCAUCCACGGAACCGGGGCGGGGUCGCAUGCAUGGCAUGUGAUCGAUCCGAAUUCUGAGCACAUUGUGUUAUGCGUCGACGUAGUAUGUACGAUGCGAUCGGAGAUCUUCUCGUUUCUUUUUCUGAGUGCACGUACUAUGAUGCGAGAUGCAGUUUUGAGAGUGGUGACCGUGUGCAUGUGUGUGGGGGCAAACUUUCGUGUUUUUGCUUUUUACGUAAGUCAGUCGGGGAAUUUUUUUGAAUCUGACCCUUUUGCUACCGCCGAAGGCUUUGACGGUAGCGUAUACAACUUACCGCCAAGUUCCCUGACGGUAGGGUUGCACACCUACCGUAAAAAGAUUUCUAGGUUGCAGAUCCAGUACGUGCGAGUAUGUACCGCCGGAUCCCUUGAUGGUAGAGUCACAUGCGCUACCGCCAGACUCUUUGACGGUAGUCUAUUUUCCUACGGUCACGGGCCUUGGCGGUAGGUUGUUAUACCCUGCCGCCAAGGUCUUCGGCGAUAGCAAAAGAGUUAGAUCCAAUUUUUUUUCCGAUCAGUAUUAAAUUCAGCUGGACUUAUGUAAAAAUGUCAAAACAAUGAAAUUUGCCGUGUGUGGGUUAACUUAGCAUGCACGUGGCAUGCAUGUAUGGAACGAUAGGUCAAUAUCUAGCUAAGCUACUCUUUCUUUUUUAGGGAGCUAGCUAAAAGCAUCUCUAAUAGACCCCGUAUAAUGCCCGAUCCAUAAAAUAAUCAUUAAAAAAAAGAUCGGGGUGGAAAAUGUUCACAGAUCAGAACAGGCAAACGCGUUUGACCCGUAAAAUUUUUUGAGGGGCGCGGGACCUGCGAAAGCACAUGUUUUCAUCUUGUUUAUACGAUGCCGUGUAUCGCAGGUAAACGGUUGGCGGGACGGACAUUUUAGUCCGCGCCCUUUCACCACCCUCACUAAUAGAAAAAUGGCAUUUUGUCCCGGUUCGUAAGGCCUUCUGUCCCGGUUUCUGAACCGGGACAAAAAGGUCGUUACUAAUGCCCUUGGCCUUUGGUCCCGGUUCUUACACGAAUCGGGACAGAUGGGCCUCCACGUGGCCGGUGCGGCGAGCCCAGGCAGGAGGCCCUUUGAUCCCGGUUGGUGACACCAACCGGGACCAAUAGGCAUCCACGCGUCAGCAUUUCAGGUGAUGGGGUUUUUGUUUUUUUUAAAGAGGAGGGGGGUUAGGGGGUUUUGGGGAGGGGGGGUUAAUUUAGGUGUUUCAUAUUUUGUGUUAGCUAGCUAAUUAAUAGAGAGAAGUGUCCUCUCUUAUAUCCGUGCUUGGUCGACGCUACAUACUAUAUGUAUAGAGAGGACUAGACACGCUAGCCAGUAAGAAAAUGAAGGAAACAGAAGAUCGUCAUGAACAUAUGCAUACAGAGAGAAGUGAUAUCGACCACCUCUCCUUCUCUGAGGGAUUGGUCGAAGAACAAGUUCUCGUAUAUCUAUCCGACGCUUCUGGCUACAUAUAUGCAAUAUAAUUAUCUCUUACAAUAUAAUCUCCUAAUUAAAAUUCAACUGAUUAGGGUUCACAUGAUAUUCUCCGUCUUUAGCGAUCACGUGGUCAAGAAAGAAUGCCGCCAAUUCCUCUUGAAUUCCUCGCAUACGGCCUUCUGGUAGGAGUUCAUUCCGCAUCCAAAAUAUCUAAUUUGAAGAAGGGGGUCAAUACAUAUAUAUGAAUAAAUGAAACUGAACACAAAUGAUGGUAAUAAAAUAAAAUUGUGAAUAUUAUUAUUUACGCACAUCAUAUUGUUUGUCAGAGUAGCCCCGCUCACAGGUCGUGUGGCGGAUGAACUCGCAAACGUAGUAUCCACAGUAAUCAAUCCCUGGUUCCUGCCACAACCACUUUACAAGAAAUAGAAGUCAAUCAAACCGAUAGUUAGCAAGCAUGCUAAAUGGUAUUGAUGAAACUAGCGCUUGAAUCACUAGGAGAUGCGUGGAACAUGCUACUAUAGUACUUACUUUCGGGUGUCUGAAUUGCAGCUUCUUCGGAAGUCCCGGAGUUUUUGAGGUGAAUUUUUUCCAAACGCUGCAGAAAACAAUUACUUGAUAUCAGGAAGUGAACAAAGUUGCCGAUAUGGUGUGAUAAUGAUCGAUUUAACUUCUGUAGAAUUUCAGUCAUGUCCGCAUAAUCGUUGGGAUCUUUUCGUCUCGAGUCUAAGACAGUUACUAGUCCCUGCUCAAGCUUAAUCUCUAGGAGAAUAUAGUGGAAGCUGCGCACGCAUGCAUAACUCAUCAAUUACAUUACUAUAACCUUGACUAAUAAGGGAAAGCGAAUAUGCACAAGACAGUAAUACUCACUGGAAUUCGUAAGGGAAGAGUAUUAUAGCUUUGUUUUGAUUCAAUACAAACGAUUAUAGCAGGUUGGCCUCGGUAUCUUUGGCCUGAAAUUCAAUCAUAAAUGCAUCUACGAGAUUUGUGUUAAUGAACCCAAUAUCACCGAUUUGUCUUUUCUUCAAUUCUACGAUCUUCAAUCUGCAAAUAAUAUAAUAAGGAUAAUUAAAAAUACAUGCAAUGAAAGAGCUAACCUAUAUAUAGAGACUUAAUGGCAGAAGUAGUACUACUUACAGGCAGUAGCAAGUGAUUAUUAAUUUAUCGAGGGCCAGGAGAUUGAAAAACGGGAAGAACUCCUCAAAUGGAACAUUCAACAGUUCAAGUCCAACGAGGUCAUGCUUCUCUCUAACUCUCAGCGUCAAAAUAUUACUCCCCUCAGACUCUUUGCAGGUUUUCAUGUACCAAUCAUGGAAUCUUCGCAUCAUCGUUGUUAGAGAUCUUUCAUCUUUGACGAGAGGCUUCCCGUACACAUAUUUGUGUUCGUCCACCUCCAAUAAAUCAAAAUAUGCAUCGUCGGGCAGGUAAUCUGCAAGAUUGGUACCGGGCAACAAGAUCCCUAGAUGAUUAGCGACGAUAUCGCUAGACACCUUGAGCGGGGGGGGGGGGNGGGGGGGGCGGGGGGACGAUUGGUUCGCUUGUUCGCCGAGCUGGGCAACUUUUUUCCCGGCUCGUUGUUCUGCUAACCUUUGACCACUGAUAGUACUUCCCGACCACUCCGCUUCGAUAAAUGACUUUGUAAUAAUGUGCUCAUAGUUUCCUUUCGCUGGAGACUUGACUGGUUUCUCCAGGGCAGCCAGAGUACGCUUCGGUUUUACCGGAUCUAUGUUCUCCUCCGGAGGUGGAUGAUUCUUUGCUUUCACCCCUUCAAAGUAGUUUUUAACUUUGGCUUGCACGAUCUUCGCGUUUUUCUCCUGGCUCCUCUCGUAUGGUAACUUCUCUGGAGUCUUCAGAGAAGGACCAUAUUUGUAUUGCCUGCCUCUAGCUGUACUGCUAGACGCCGGAUCAGACGGAGCGAUUGCAGCUGUCUUUCCUUUCUUACGAGGCGGAGUAGAAGGACGACGCGCCGGAGCAAUCGGAGCGGCGGCGGGUCUUUUCCGCCCUUGUUGACGAAGCGGNNNNNNNNNNNNNNNNNNNNNNNNNNNNNNNNNNNNNNNNNNNNNNNNNNNNNNNNNNNNNNNNNNNNNNNNNNNNNNNNNNNNNNNNNNNNNNNNNNNNNNNNNNNNNNNNNNNNNNNNNNNNNNNNNNNNNNNNNNNNNNNNNNNNNNNNNNNNNNNNNNNNNNNNNNNNNNNNNNNNNNNNNNNNNNNNNNNNNNNNNNNNNNNAUCACUCGCCGGAGGAGGAGGCGGAGGAGGAGGCGGAGGAGGAGAAGGAGACUAAGUGCCCUAAUCACUCGCCGGAGGAGGAGGCAGAGGAGGAGAAAGAGAUUGAGUGCCCUGGUCACUCGCUGGAGGAGGAGGCGGAGUGCCCUGACUCGCCGGAGGAGGACGAGGAGACGGAGGCGUCCAGUUCGGAAGGUUGAUGAGCUCCUUCCGCCAUAAGCAUGAAGUCUUCAGAGAAGAACCCACCCGAAUCUCCCCUUCACCCGUAGGGUGGUCAAGCUGAAGGUCCUCAAAUCCGUCCAUUAUUUGAUCCACCAUCACCCUAGCAUAUCCUUCUGGAAUCGAUCGGCCAUGGUAGGUUGGGCCAGGUUCAGUAGGUAAAACAACUCCAACAACCGCCUUUACUUUUAAUGUCAUCCAUCGCGCCAUAAGGUGGCAAUGUUGAGACUCCGUGAUAGCAUCCACGGGGUAGCUAGCAGGAGCCGUGAAGACAUGCUCCAGCUGCUGAGUCUGCUCGGUGGAAGCCACGCUGCUUCUCCGCUGAGAUGGUGGGGUAGCUUCAAGGGAAGCUUCGGCAGGUUGUUUGCUGCGAUCUGCUUCUUGUUCCUCUAGCCCUUGUGCCCUUUCGUGCAGCGGCUGCAGUUCUCUAUGAUCCACUUUCUUCCUCCUCUCCUGGCAUUUGUAACCCCCUGCGUCCAGAAACCCAACCUUCCACAGAAAGGAGCCUCGUGUGCCUGUAUCCGUCCAGGGUGCUCAGGAUUCCUGAGGGACAUUGUGAGCUCGUCCUUCUCUCUGUCUGGAAUGAACGUCCCUUGCUACGCUUUCUUGAUAUACUCCUUAAGCCUCGUGACGGGUAUUCGCAGUUGCUCUUCCGUCCAAACGCAGUUCCCUGAUACAGGGUCCAAGGUUCUGCCAACCCCGAAGAACCAAGUCCGGGAACGGUCUGACCAGUUCAAUGUCUCUGGUUCGACCCCUUUAGCAAUCAGGUCAUUCUCAGCCUUGUCCCACAAAGGUCGGGCUUUGAGGUAGCCACCUGACCCCGUGCAAUGGUGAUGCUUCUUCUUCGCAGCAUUUUCCUUGUUUGUCGUUGACAUCUUCUUACUCUUUUCCAAUGUCUUGUGGGCCACAAAUGCGGGCCAGUGAUCUCUGAUCUUCUCAAACCGGCCAGUGAAUUCUGGUGUAAUUUCUUUGUGGACAAACGUUUUCAACUCAUUCUUCCACCUCCUGAAUAGUUCUGCCAUCUUCUUAAGAGCAUGAGACUUGAUCAAUUGCUCUAUAACUAGAUUCUCCAGAUCCUCCUCUGGCGUAGGGUGAAAUUUGCCUUAAGCGUUGUCCAAAGAUCUUCUUUCUGCAUAUCGGAGACAUAAGACACCUCACGGUCUUCCUUCUUAGGCUUUAACCGUUGCUGGAUACUGAUGGGGAUCUUGUCCCUAACAAGAAGCCCGCACUGAUUAGCAAAUGCUUCCUUUCUCCGGUACGGUUCAAUCGGCUUGCCAUCACGCGCGAUUGCUGUGAUCUCAAACCUUUCAUCCGAGUGCAACUUUUCUUCGGGCCUCGUCUCUUUACCGAAGUUGUGCUCGAUCCGGAAAGCUAGAAAAAGAAGAAAGACGAGAGUUAAUUAAUAUGUGUACAUACGAAAACAAUGAAUGCAUCAAUUAGCUAGUCAGCACAGGCUUAACUAAUAUAUAUACCUGGCCGGACUCGGUUCGGUCACCGGAGUCAUCAUAAUCAUAGCCUUCUUCUUGUACCGGCAUUAAUGGGUCACCGAAGCCAUCAUAAUCAUAGCCUUCUACUUCACUCUAUCCUUCCAGACCAUCGGUGUCGUUGAGAAACGACAAGACGACAUCCCUUCCUUUUGCGAUUAUUUCCCCCAAAAUCUCUUAUGUUGCUUCGUCUCGGGGGUGCUCCAUAGUUUCUACAAAUAUUUACAACAUGGAAAUUAUUAUUCAAACAUGACAGAUGGAUAUAUUAGUGGCAAACAUAGAAUUAGCUAGCUAAUCACAAUAAGGAAUCAUAUUAGUUGCCUCGAUGCUGCUUCUCUAGGGUUUGGGGUGGCCUCGGCAACGCUUCAAGGGUUUGAGGUGGCCUCGACAAUGCUUCAAGGGUUUGGGUGGCCUCGACGACAACGCUCUUUUAACUUGGUAAAUUUGGGUGGCCUCGAGAGAGUUUGUAGGGUAGGGGCGCGGCGGGAGGGGGUAGGAGACCAACAUCGUUUUUUCUAGGGUUUGGGUGUCCUCGAGAGUUUUGGUCGAGCGAGAGGGCCGGGGCGGGGGAGGGGGUGCUCCCGUGGUAUAAGUUAUCACGGUCGAGAGGGGGUAUAUAUAUCGACCGCCCCUCAUGUCGAAGUUAUCCGGGAGGGGGUCGAUAAUUAAAGCGGAGUUUCCGCUCUCCCACUAUGUGAAUCUCCAAUCACGUUUGCUCCAAUAUCAAAACUAAACCAUUUAAAAGCAAUCGUGUGGGAUCUAUGAAAAAUUAAACCAGUUAAAACUAAGAAAUUACACUCAUGAAUAACUUAAUAGCAAAAUCAUAAAAUGCAAAAAUCAUGAGUUGUUUGUCUUUAAUGACCUUGACAUAUGACAGGAAAGGCACUAGGGAAUAUACUUGAUUUAGUGGGAAAAUAAACAUAUACUCUAGGGAAUAAAUUUGAUUGAGUAGAAAAAUAAUCAAAGAUGUCGUAAAUUAGCAUAUCAACAUAUGCAUAUGUAGAAGCGGCAUUGCCGAGAAGCCGAGAAACAGACACAGUUUAUAAAAGAGAACAUGGGUAGAAAACUGUCCUCUCGUGGCAUGGUACCUUGAAUAUCGUUUCUUUUGUAGACAUCCUCAAAAUUAUUAUAUACCAAAAAAAUUGUAUUGGCUUGAACACAGAAGUGACCAUGAGCAGUCAACACAGAAGCUAGUGACCAUGAACGGUGACAAAUGUUCAUAUUUCCGCCGAAUACAUGUCUAACAAACCCCCAAGUGCAUAAUCAGAUUUAAUUAUGCAAAAACAUAAAACAAACAAAUUUGGCGGCAGAGGAGGGCCUCACAGUAGACGUCGGCGGGUUUGUCCACCACGACGAGCCACUCGUCCUCGAACACGACGGCGGCGGAGGAGUAGGCACCAGAGGCGAAGAAGAAGAUAGGGGCAGGGGCGACGGGGCGGGUCGGGGGUGCGCGGCGUCGGUGUAGAGGACGGUGGCGUGGUUGGUGUAGUGGACGACGGCGUGGUCGGGGCGACGCCGGCGACGACCGCGUCGAUGGGGCGGAGGGACGACAGCGUCGACGGGGCAGGGGCAGCGUCGAGGCGGCAGGGGCGGCGUCGGCGUCGGGAUCGAAUGGAGAGAGGGGGGAGAUCAAAAUUUCUAAACUUCCGCUUAUAUAGCCCCACCUUUAGUCCCAGUUGGUGGCACCAACCGCGACUAAUGUGGGGCAUUGGUCUCGGUUGGUGUCACCAACCGGGACUAAAGGUCACUUUUCAGCAGCCCGAAGGGCGGGAAGCAUAGGCCUUUGGUCCCGGUUGGUGGCACCAACGGAGACUAAAGGGGGCCUUUGGUCCCGGUUGGUAGCACCAACCGGUACCAAUGCCCCCCUUUAGUCCCGGUUGGUGCCACCAACCGGGACCAAAGGCCUUGCGCGGUGCGGUGCUAUGUUUAGUCCCACCUCGCUAGCCGAGAGGGGCUCGCAGUGGUUUAUAAGCCCUGCCGAACCAACCACUUCGAGCUCCUCUCUACUGCAGGCUUACGGGCCUAAAAUCAUUUUGUGUGCUUGUGGGCCUGUUGGGCCUACUACGGGCGUGCAUCCUCGCCCUAGUAAUGGGUUUCUAGUCGUAUGCACGCCGUGGUGGCCCUGUAGGUGGCACUUUUUUUAAAAAAUAAUCCAGUUUUUUGAUUUCUUUUUUGUUUCUAAUUACUUAUUUAUUUUCUUUUAUGAUAAUUCUUUUUGCUAUUAAAGUUUGUAACAAAAUUUGAAUUACUUAUUUAUUUUGUUUUAUGAUAAUUCUUUUUUGCUUUUAAUGUUUUGAACAGAAAAUACUUUGAUAAUUUUAGUUGCAUAAAUUCUAUAUAAUUUUAGUAUCAAGUUGGCAUGGUAUCAUCAUUUCACCCACAUAGCAUGUGCGAGAAAGUAGAGAGGGUUACGACGAAAACUGGAUACACUCCGUGUACAAAACGGACAAUCUCUUUUGAAGUAUCAGGGUUUCAUACGUAAACUCGUCUGUUACAAAGGGAUUUCAUUUUUUUGAACUUAUUUGAACUCCAUAGUUUUUUCUGUGUUCAGAAUGCACCAUUCAAAGCCACAUCAUCAAUUUACAGCCCUUUCUGACUUCAUUUGUUAUUUUUCAUGCAUUUACUCAUUAUUUUGAGCUAUAAGACCAUGAAAUUGAAAUGAACUCUGAAAAGGUUCCAAGUUGGCAUGGUAUCAUCAUUUCAACCACAUAGCAUGUGCGAGAAAGUUGAGAGGGUUACGGCAAAAACUGGAUGCACUUCGUGUACAAAACGGACAAUCUCUUUCAAAGUAUCACGGUUUCAUACGGAAACUCGUAUGUUACAAAGGGAUUUCAUUUUUUUGAUAUUAUUGGAACUCCAUAGUUUUUCUGUGUUCAAAAUGCACCAUUCAAAGCCACAUCAUCAAUUUACAACCUUUUCUGACUUCAUUUGUUAUUUUUCAUGCAUUUACUGAUUAUUUUCAGCUAUAAGACCAUGAAAUUGAAAAGCAUUUGAAAUAAACUCUAAAAAGGUUCCAAGUUGGCAUGGUAUCAUCAUUUCACCCACAUAGCAUGUGCGAGAAAGUUGAGAGGGUUACUGCAAAAACUGGAUGCAUUUUGUGUACAAAACGGACAAUAUCUUUCGAAGUAUUAGGGUUUCAUACGGAAACUCGUCUGUUACAAAGGGAUUUCAUUUUUUUGAACUUAUUUGAACUCCAUAGUUUUUCUGUGUUCAAAAUGCACCAUUCAAAGCAACAUCAUCAAUUUACAACCCUUUGUGACUUCAUUUGUUAUUUUUCAUGCAUUUGCUGAUUAUUUUGAGCUAUAAGACCAUGAAAUUGAAAAGCAUUUGAAAUGAACUCUAAAAAGGUUCCAAGUUUGCAUGGUACCAUCAUUUCACCCACAUAGCAUGUGCGAGAAAUUUGAGAGGGUUACGGCAAAAACUGGAUGCACUUCGUGUACAAAACGGACAAUCUCUUUCGAAGUAUCACGGUUUCAUACGAAAACUCGUGUGUUACAAAGGGAUUUCAUUUUUUUGAACUUAUUUAAACUCCAUAGUUUUUCUGUGUUCAAAAUGCUCCAUUCAAAGCGAGAUCAGCAAUUUACAACCCUUUCUGACUUCAUUUGUUAUUUUUCAUGCAUUUACUGAUUAUUUUGAGCUAUAAGACCAUGAAAUUGAAAAGCAUUUNNNNNNNNNNNNNNNNNNNNNNNNNNNNNNNNNNNNNNNNNNNNNNNNNNNNNNNNNNNNNNNNNNNNNNNNNNNNNNNNNNNNNNNNNNNNNNNNNNNNNNNNNNNNNNNNNNNNNNNNNNNNNNNNNNNNNNNNNNNNNNNNNNNNUUCCAAGUUGGCAUGGUACCAUCAUUUCACCCACAUAGCAUGUGCGAGAAAGUUGAGAGGGUUACGACAAAAACUGGAUGCACUUCGUGUACAAAACGGACAAUCUCUUUCGAAGUAUGAGGGUUUCAUACGGAAACUCGUCUGUUACAAAGGGAUUUCAUUUUUUUGAACUUAUUUGAACUCCAUAGUUUUUCUGUGUUCAAAUUGCACCAUUCAAAGCCACAUCAUCAAUUUACAACGCGUUCUGACUUCAUUUGUUAUUUUUCAUGCAUCUACUGAUUAUGUUGAGCUAUAAGACCAUGAAAUUGAAAAGCAUUUGAAAUGAACUCUGAAAAGGUUCCAAGUUGGCAUGGUAUCAUCAUUUCAGCCACAUAGCAUGUGCAAGAAAGUUGAGAGGGUUACGGCAAAAACUGUAGGCAGUUCGUGUACAAAACGGACAAUCUCUUUCGAAGUGCGAGGGUUUCAUACGGAAACUCGUCUCUUACAAAGGGAUUUCAUUUUUUUGAACUUAUUUGAAGUCCAUAAUUUUUUGUGUUCAAAAUGCACCAUUCAAAGCCACAUCAUCAAUUUACAACCCUUUCUGACUUCAUUUGUUAUUUUUCAUGCAUUUACUGAUUAUUUUGAGCUAUAAGACCAUGAAAUUGAAAAGCAUUUCAAAUGAACUCUGAAAAGGUUCCAAGUUGGCAGUGGUGACAAUUUUAACACAACACAUGAUAUCCAUUACAUCUAGGGCACAACAUUACAUUUGCUCAAGUUCACAACAGUGCACAAAUGAUAGAAUUACAUCUAGGGCACAACACACUAGACGAAAUAGAAACUAAACUAGCCACAAUGUUGAUGCCAAGAACAAAGAGAAAACCCAUUGUUUCCAUGAGCUCAUUCCUUUUCUUCAACUUCAAUUGCAUUUUCUUGUUUUCAUUUUUCUGAUCCAUAACCUUCUUCUCCAUCCUACUAGCUUUGAUCCAACUACGUUCAAGGCCACCAUGGAGCUCCUAAAAAGCUUGCCCCACUAGCUCAGUGGGAGGGGGGGUCAAUCCAAACAACCCAAUCACACUCAUCAGGAAGUUGUUAGAUCAGAGUUCACAUAAUUAGGUGAAAUUCAUAACUUUGCAAUAAAUCGAUGAAAACAAAGUACUGAUACGUCCAUUUGCAUCAUGCUUUCAUGUUGAUAUUUAUUGCUUUUUGGGCUGUUAUUUCACUUCACGGUACAAUACUUAUGCCUUUUCUCUCUUAUUUUGCAAGGUUUACAUGAAGAGGGAGAAUACCGGCAGCUGGAAUUCUGGCCUAAAAAAGGAGCAAGUUUGAGAUGCCUAUUCUGCGCAACUCCAAAGGCCGUGAAAAUCCAUGUGGAUUUUUUGGGAAUAUAUAAAAAAAUACUGGGCAGAAAAUGUACCACAGGGGCGCCACCUGGACGCCACAAGCCUGCCAGGCCCGACCUACCCCCCUGGCCAGGGCUGGAGGGCUUGUGGGCCCCAUGUUGCCCCUCGGGCGCUCAUCUUUGGCUAUAUGAAGGGUUUCGUCCGGAAAAAAUCAGAAGGGAGCUUUUUCGUGGAUUCGCCGCCGCCACGAGGCGGAACUUGAGCAGAACCAAUCUAGAGCUCCGGCAGGACGAUCCUGCCGGGGAAACUCAUCACCAUCAACAUCUUCAUCAGCACCAUCUCAUCUCCAAACCCUAGUUCAUCACUUGUAACCAAUCUCCAUCUCACGACUCCUAUUGGUACUGGUAAGGUUGCUAGUAGUGUUAAUUACUCCUUGUAGUUGAUGCUAGUUNNNNNNNNNNNNNNNNNNNNNNNNNNNNNNNNNNNNNNNNNNNNNNNNNNNNNNNNNNNNNNNNNNNNNNNNNNNNNNNNNNNNNNNNNNNNNNNNNNNNNNNNNNNNNNNNNNNNNNNNNNNNNNNNNNNNNNNNNNNNNNNNNNNNNNNNNNNNNNNNNNNNNNNNNNNNNNNNNNNNNNNNNNNNNNNNNNNNNNNNNNNNNNNNNNNNNNNNNNNNNNNNNNNNNNNNNNNNNNNNNNNNNNNNNNNNNNNNNNNNNNNNNNNNNNNNNNNNNNNNNNNNNNNNNNNNNNNNNNNNNNNNNNNNNNNNNNNNNNNNNNNNNNNNNNNNNNNNNNNNNNNNNNNNNNNNNNNNNNNNNNNNNNNNNNNNNNNNNNNNNNNNNNNNNNNNNNNNNNNNNNNUUAAACCCUAGUUUAUGCAUUGCUUCGUAAGGGGCUGAUUUGGAUCCACUAGUUUAAUGCUAUGGUUAGACUUUGUCUUAAUUCUUCUUUCUUAGCUGUGGAUGCUUGCGUGAGGGGUUAAUCAUAAGUGGGAUGCUUGUCCAAGUAAGGGCAGUACCCAAGCGCCGGUCCACCCAUAUAUCAAACUAUCAAAGCAACGAACGUGAAUCAUAUGAACAUGAUGAAAACUAGCAUGACAGAAAUUCCCGUGUGUCCUCGGGAGCGUUUUUCCUCCUAUAAGACUUUGUCCAAGCUUGUCCCUUGCUACAAAAGGGAUUGGGACACCUUGCUGGACCGUUGCUACUUUCGUUACUUGUUGCUUGGUACAAAUCAUCUCACCAUACAAUCACUUGUUACCGAUAAUUUCAGUGCUUGCAGAUAUUACCUUGCUGAAAACCACUUGUCAGAUCCUUCUGCUCCUCGUUGGGUUCGACACUCUUACUUAUCAAAAGGACUAUGGUUGAUCCCCUAUACUUGUGGAUCAUCAAGACUCUUUUUUGGCACCGUUGCCGGGGAGUGAAGCGCCUUUGGUAAGUGGAACUUGGUAAGGAAACAUUCAUAUAGUGUGCUGAAAUUCAUUGUCACUUGUCACUAUGGAUACUAAUCCUUUGAGGGGCUUGUUCGAGGUAUCUUCACCUCGAACGGAAGCAAAAAUAGUUGCUCCUCAACCUACUGCACCUACUGAAAAUAUUUGCUUUGAAUUUCCUUCGGGUAUGCUUGAGAAACUGCUGGCUAAUCCUUUUACAGGAGAUGGAACAUCACAUCCAGACUUGCAUCUAAUCUAUGUAGAUGAAGUUUGUGGUUUAUUUAAGCUUGCAUGUUUGCCCGAGGAUGAGGUCAAGAAGAAGGUAUUUCCUUUAUCUUUGAAGGAUAAGGCUUUGACAUGGUAUAGGCUAUGUGAUGAUACUGGAUCAUGGGACUACAAUCGGUUGAAAUUGGAAUUUCAUCAAAAGUUUUAUCCUAUGCAUUUAGUACAUCAUGAUCGGGAUUAUAUUUAUAAUUUUUGGCCUCGUGACAGAGAAAUCAUCGCUCAAGCUUGGGGGAGGCUUAAAUCAUUGUUAUAUUCAUGCCCCAACCAUGAGCUCUCGAGAGAAAUUAUCAUUCAGAACUUCUAUGCUCGGCUUUCUCAUGAUGAUCGCACCAUGCUUGAUACUUCUUGUACCGGUUCAUUUAUGAAGAGAGAUAUUGACUUUAAAUGGAAUUUAUUUGAGAGAAUUAAAUGUAUCUCUGAAGAUUGGGAGCUUGAAGAAGGUAAGGAGUCAGGUAUGAAUUUCUAGUUUGAUUGCGUUAAAUCCUUUGUUGAAACAAAUGCUUUUUGUGACUUUAGCGCUAAGUAUGGACUUGACUCUGAGAUAGUAGCUUCAUUGUGUGAAUCAUUUGCUGCUCAUGUUGAUCUCCCUAAAGAGAAGUGGUUUAAAUAUCCUCCUCCUUUAGAAGUCAUUGUAGUUAAUCCCAAUCCAGUUGAAGAGAGAGUCAUUGCCUAUAAUGAUCAUGUUGUUCCGAGUGCUUACAUUGAGAAACCACCUUUCCCUGUUAGGAUAAAGGAUCAUUCUAAAGCUUCAACUGUGAUACAUAGAUGCUACAUUAGAACACCUACACCCCCUGAGCAAAUUAGAGUUGAACCUAGCAUUGCUAUUGUCAAAGAUCUUUUGUCCGACGAUGUUGAGGGACAUAAUAUUCACUUCUGUGAAGAUGCUUCUAGAAUUGCUAAACCUCACGCUAGAGACAAACAUAGGCCUCUUGUUGGCACGCCUGUUGUUUCUGUUAAGAUAGAAGAUCAUUGCUAUCAUGGUUUAUGUGACGUGGAUGCUAGUGUUAGUGCAAUACCUCAAUCCUUAUAUGAUGAAAUCAAAGAGGAGAUUGCGCCUAUUGAGAUAGAACCUAUUGAUGUCACUAUUUAGCUUGCCAAUAGAGAUACUAUCUGCCCUAUGUGAAUUGUUAAGGAUGUUGAAGUCUUGUGUGGUAAAAUGAAGUAUCCUGCUGAUUUCUUCGUUCUUGCUACCACCCAAGAUAGCUUUUGUCCCAUCAUAUUUGGCAGACCUUUUCUCAAUACCGUCAAUGCUCAUAUUGAUUUUGAGAAGCAAACCGUCACUAUUGGCUUUGAAGGUGUGUCACAUGAGUUCAAUUUCCCCAAGUUUGGUAGACAACCUCAUGAAAAAGAGUUGCCUAGUAAGGAUGAAACUAUUGCCUUAGCUUCUAUUGCCGUGCCUCCUACUGAUCCCUUAGAGCAAUACUUGCUUGAGCAUGAAAAUGAUAUGCAUAUGGAUAAAAGGGAUGAGAUAGAUAGAGUUGUCUUAGAACAAUAUCCUAUCCUUAAGAAUAAUCUGCCUCUUGAACUGCUUGAGGAUCCGCCCCCACCAAAGGGUGAUCCUGUAUUCGAGCUUAAACAGUGCCUGAUACACUUAAGUAUGCUUAUCUUGAUGAAAAAGAGAUAUAUCCUGUUAUUAUUAGUGCUAGCCUCUCAGAGCAUUAAUAAAAGAAGUUACUAAAAACUCUGAGGAAGCACCGUGCUGCUAUUGGAUAUACUCUUGAUGAUCUUAAGGGAAUUAGUCCCACUCUAUGCCAGAGCAAAAUCAAAACUGAUCCUGAUUCCAAACCAGUUGCUGAUCAUCAAAGGAGAUUAAAUCCUAAGAUGAAAGAAGUAGUGAGAAAAGAAAUACUAAAGCUUCUAGAAGCGGGUUUUAUCUAUCCUGUUGCUCAUAGCGAUUGGGUGAGUCCGGUGCAUUGCGUUCCUAAGAAGGGAGGCAUUACCGUUGUCCCUAAUGAUAAGGAUGAAUUGAUCCCACACAGGAUUAUUACUGGCUAUAGGAUGGUGAUCGAUUUUAGGAAAUUGAAUAAGGCCACUAGAAAACAUCAUUACCCUUUCCCUUUUAUUGACCAAAUGCUAGAAAGACUGUCUAAACACACACACUUCUGCUUUCUAGACGGUUAUUCUGGUUUCUCCCAAAUACCAGUUGCACAAUCUGAUCAGGAGAAAACCACUUUCACCUGCCCUUUCGGUACCUUUGCUUAUAGACGUAUGCCUUUUGGCUUGUGUAAUGCACCUGCCACCUUUCAAAGAUGUAUGAUGGCUAUAUUCUCUGACUUUUGUCAAAAGAUUGUUGAGGUUUUCAUGGAUGAAUUUUCCGUUUAUGGGUCUUCUUUUGAUGAUUUCCUCAGCAACCUUGAUCGAGUCUUGCAGAGAUGUAAAUACACCAAUCUUGUCUUGAAUUCGGAGAAGUGCCACUUUAUGGUUAAUGAAGGCAUCAUCUUAGGACAUAAAUUUUUUGAAAGAGGUAUUGAAGUCGAUAAGGCUAAGGUUGAUGCAAUCAAGAAAAUGCCAUACCCCACAGAUAUCAAAGGUAUAAGAAGUUUCCUUGGUCAUGUUGGUUUCUAUAGAAGGUUCAUUAAAGACUUCUCUAAGAUUUCUAGGCCUCCUACCAAUCUCCUACAAAAGGAUAUUCCUUUUGUUUUUGAUGAUGAUUGUGAGGAAGCCUUCGAAAUACUUAAGAGGGCUUUGAUAACUGCACCUAUUGGUCAACCACCUGAUUGGAACUUACCCUUUGAAAUCAUGUGUGAUGCUAGUGAUUACGUUGUUGGUGCUGUUCUAGGGCAAAGAGUUGAUAAGAAGUUGAAUGUUUUUCACUACGCUAGUAAAAUUGUAGACAAUGCCCAAAGAAACUAUGCUACUACGGAAAAGGAAUUUUUAGCAGUCGUGUUUGCAUGUGAAAAGUUCAGGUCUUACAUAGUUGAUUCCAAAGUCACUAUUCACACUGAUCAUGCUGCUAUUAAGUACCUCAUGGAGAAGAAGGACGCUAAACCUAGACUUAUCAGAUGGGUUCUCUUGCUACAAGAAUUUGAUUUGCACGUUGUGGACAGGAAGGGUGCUGAUAACCCUGUAGCACAUAACUUUCUAGGUUGGAGAACGUUCUUGAUGACCCACAACCUAUUGAUGAUAGCUUUCCCGGUGAGCAACUGAGUGUCAUCAAUGCUUCACGUAGUGCACCGUGGUAUGCUGAUUAUGCAAACUAUAUCGUUGCCAAAUAUAUACCACCUAGUUUCACAUAUCAGCAAAAGAAGAUAUUCUUCUUUGACUUGAGACAUUAGUUUUGGGAUGAUCCUCGCCUUUAUAAGGAAGGAGUAGAUGGUGUCAUUAGACGUUGUGUACCUGAACAUGAACAUGGACAGAUUGUACAGAAGUGUCACUCCGAGGCCUACGGAGGACACCAUGCGGGAGAUAGAACUGCACACAAGGUAUUGCAAUCAGGUUUCUAUUGGCUCACUCUCUUCAAGGAUGCCCGUAAGUUUGUCUUGUCUUGUGACGAAUGUCAAAGAAUAAGUAAUAUUAGUAAAUAUCAGGAAAUGCCUAUGAACUAUUCACUUGUCAUUGAACCAUUUGAUGUCUGGGGCUUUGAUUAUAUGGGACCUUUUCCAAAAUCGAACGGGUAUACUCAUAUCCUAGUUGCUGUUGAUUAUGUCACUAAGUGGGUAGAAGCUAUCCCCACUAGUAGUGCUGAUCACAACACCUCUAUCAAGAUGCUUAAGGAAGUUAUCUUCCCUAGAUUUGGAGUCCCUAGAUAUCUAAUGACCGACGGUGGUUCACAUUUCAUUCAUGGUGCUUCCCGUAAAACGCUUGCUAAGUAUGAUGUCAACCAUAGAAUUGUGUCUCCCUAUCACCCUCAAUCCAGUGGUCAAGUAGAGAUAAGCAAUAGAGAGAUUAAACUGAUUCUGCAAAAGACUGUCAACAGGUCUAGAAAGAAUUGGUCUAAGAAGCUCGAUGAUGCACUGUGGGCUUAUAGAACUGCAUAUAAGAAUCCCAUGGGCAUGUCUCCGUACAAAAUGGUGUACGGUAAAGCAUGUCAUCUACCUCUUGAGUUAGAGAAUAAAGCUUAUUGGGCUAUUAAAGAGCUCAACUUUGAUUUCAAACUUGCUGGUGAGAAGAGGUUAUUUGACAUUAGCUCGCUUGAUGAAUGGAGAACUCAGGCAUAUGAAAAUGCCAAGUUGUUCAAAGAAAAGGUUAAGAGGUGGCAUGAUAAGAGGAUACAAAAGCGUGAGUUCAGUGUAGGUGAUUAUGUCUUGUUAUAUAAUUCUCGUUUAAGAUUUUUUGCAGGCAAGCUUCUCUCUAAAUGGGAAGGUCCCUAUAUUGUUGAGGAAGUAUAUCGUUCUGGUGCUAUCAAAAUCAACAACAUGGAAGGUAAUUGUCCGAGAGUGGUAAACGGGCAGAGAAUCAAACAUUAUAUCUCAGGUACUCCCAUAAAUGUUGAGAGCAACAUUAUCAAUACCAUAACUCCGGAGGAGUACAUAAGGGAUAUUUUUCAGCCUGUUUCAGACUCCGAAAACGAAGAGGUAUGUGAUUCGGUAAGUAAACCGACUCCAAAACCUUUCCCGUAGCAAUUUUCCUCUGUUUUGGAAUAUUUGAAAAAUUAGAAAAAUUUAAAGCAGUCCGGAAAGUGCCCGAGGAGGCGACAAGCCUCCUAGCCCCGACCUACCCCCCUAGUCGGGGCUGGAGGGCUUGUGGCCACCUCGUGCGCCUCUCGGCCUCCAUUUUCGUGUGGAGUACUCCUUCUGGUCUGGAAAAAUCAUUAUAUAUUCUCCCGAAAGGUCUGACCUCUGUAUCACGCAAAUUCCCUCUAUUUUCGUUGCGACAUUGUUUUCUGCCGCAAAUCUAGGCCAAGAUGUCUUCUCAGGAUUCAGAGGGGGAGAGUUAUGUGGCUGAUUACCUCGCUAAAUCCAAGGUCUAUGGGGACUUGGAUCCUUAUGGGUGGACCACUCAUGAGGAAGAACAUUAUGAUCCCAAGGGAAAGGAACAAACAAGUUCCGAUGAAGAGGUGGCUCCUCUACCUCAACCUGGACACACGCAUGUGGAGUUCAAGAAGUCGAGCCUCCCUGAUUCAAGGAAGAAACCUAAGACUUUGUUUAUCCCUUGUCGUUUCUUGCAGGAGAGUAAGCAGGAAUUAUGCCAAAGGGUGUUGAAGCUUGAAGAAGAAAAUGACGAUCUGAGGGAGCAGAAUUUUAUGCUCAAGUGGAAAUUAAACAAGCUCAAGACCUCUUCAACAACUCCACCACCAUCACCUCCAAAGGAAUACAACUGAGCAUGGGUAUGCGCAAUCCCCUUGGCUUGUGCCAAGCUUGGGGGAGUUGCCUCGGUAUCGUAUCACCAUCAUAUCUUUUGCUUUUACCUUUGUUUUAGUUUGUUCAUUUUCAGUUUUCUCUUUCUCUAGUAGAAUAAAAGUCUUAGUGUUUUAGUCUUGAUUUUUGCUUUGUGUCACCCCCGAUGUAUUUGAGCUCGUGAGCCAUAUAAUAAAGAGUAUCUUAGUUGAAGGGCUUUGCCUCUUGCCAUGAUCAAAAUAUCGAGAAAGAACAAAAGCAUGAAAGAUCAUAUAGUGAUCCUAUGGGAAGUGAUGGCUUCACAUAUAAAAAGGAUGAUGAUUGAAACUUGUUGAGGGUAGACAAACGUAGACCUUGGUCAUUGUUGCAAUUAAUAGGAAGUGAUAAAGAAGGAGAGGUUCAAAUAUAAAUAUAUCAUCCUUGACACCAUAUGUGAUUGUGAACACUCACUAAACUAUUACAUGCCUAGAAGUAGAUGUUGGACAAGGAAGACAACAUAAUGAAUUGUGUUUGCUUGGUUCCGAACAAUGUUAUAUGAUUAGAGAUCCCUUAGAAUGUGACGAUUGCUUCCACCUCAUGUUAGCCAAAACUCCCGCACCAAGUAGAGAUACUACUUGUGCAUCCAUAAACCUUCAACCUAGUUUUGCCAUAAGAGUCCACCAUACCUACCUAUGGAUUGAAUAAGAUCCCUCAAGUAAGUUGUCAUCGGUGCAGGCAAUAAAAAUUGCUCCCUAAUAUGUAUUGCUGUUCUAAUUUUUGUCAUGAUGCCUGCAUGUUCGUAUCUUGUUUUGUCGACACCUCUCUCCCUAAACAUGUGGUCAUGUUUAUUGAGCUAGGCUUUCGCUUGAGGACAAGCGAGGUCUAAGCUUGGGGGAGUUGAUACGUCCAUUUUGCAUCAUGCUUUCAUGUUGAUAUUUAUUGCUUUUUGGGCUGUUCUUUCACUUCACGGUACAAUACUUAUGCCUUUUCUCUCUUAUUUUGCAAGGUUUACAUGAAGAGGAAGAAUACCGGCAGCUGGAAUUCUGGCCUGAAAAAGGAGCAAGUUUGAGAUGCCUAUUCUGUGCAACUCCAAAAGCCGUGAAAAUCAAUGUGGAUUUUUUUGGGAAUAUAUAAAAAAUAUUGGGCGGAAGAAGUACCAGAGGGGCGCCACCUGGAGGAAGAGUUUAUGUUCAGAUCCUUGUAGUUGAUUACUCCUUGUAGUCGAUGCUAGUUGGAUUAUUNUGAAGUGAACUACUCACGAGUCAUUGGAGGGGCGAUGUUGAUGAUGAAGAAGCCCUCCAUCUCUAAAGUCCCCUCCGGCAGGGUGCCGGGAAGGGUCUCCAGAUGAGAUCUCGCGGAAACGGAAGUUUGCGGCGGAGGAAAAGUAUUUUCGAGGCUCCCCUGAUUUUUUGCGGAAUAUUUGGGAAUUCAUAGGCGAAAGACCAGGGUCAGGGGGCGGCCAGGGAGGCCACAAGCCUGCCCACCGCCGCCUCCCCCCUGGUGGCGGAGUGGGGGCUUGUGGGCUCCCUGGAGCCCACCUAGCUUGGCCCAAAAGCCCCCUGGACUUCUUUCGUUCGGGAAAAAAUCAUUUUGGGGUUUUUCUUCCGUUUGGACUCCGUUCCAAAAUCAGAUCUGAAAAGAGUCAAAAACACGGAAAAACAGGAACUGGCACUUGGCACUGAAUUAAUAAGUUAGUCCAGAAAAGAUAUAAAAAGGUACAUAAAACAUACAAAGAAGACAAGAUAAAAACGAGAAAACAUCAAAAAUUAUAGAUAUGUUUGAGACGUAUCAAGCAUCCCCAAGCUUAACUCUUGCUCGUCCUCGAGUAGGGAAGUGAUAAGAAUGAAUUUUUUAUGCUUUCAUGCUACCUAGCAUAGGUGUCCUUUGUAAUUCCUCUUAUGUGACGUGAAUGUUCAGAUCCAUUAGAUUCAAAACAAUAUUUUGCUAUUGACGUGGAAACAAUAAUAAUUCAAGCAAACUAGCAAAGUAAUCAUGAACUUUCAAAAUAACAAGGACAAAAGAAAGUUAUCCCUACAAAAGCAUAUAGUCUGGCUAUGCUCUAUCAUCAUUGCACAACGAGUUUAAAUCAUGCACAACCCCGGUAUUGGCCAAGUAAUCGUUUCACACCUUUACUUUCUCAAACAUUUUCAACUCUCACGCAAUACAUGAGCGUGAGCCAUGGUUACAACACUAUAGAUGGUGUGGAAUGUGGUGGGGGUUGCAAGACAAAAAUGAGAAGAUAGUCACAUUAACUAGGCAUAUCAAUGAGAUGUGGAGAUGCUCAUCAAUAGAUAUCAAUGUGAAUGAGUAGGGAUUGCCAUACAAAUGAUGCACUAGAACUACAAGUAUGUGAAAGCUCUAAAAGAAAACUAGUGGGUGUGCAUCCAACUUGCUUGCUCACGGAGACCUAAGGCAAUUUUGAGGAAGCCUAUAAUUGGAAUAUACAAGCCAAGUUAUAUAAUGAUAAUUUCCCACUAGCUAUAUGGUGGUGACAAAACGAGAGACUCUCAAUCAUGAAGAUCAUGGUGCUCAAAAUGCACAAGUGUCGAAAAAGUGGUAGCAUUGUCCCUUCUCUCUUUUUCUCUCAUUUUUUAUUAUUUUUAUUUUGGUGGGCUCUUUGGACUCUUUUUUAUGGGCUUCUUUGGCCUCUUUUAUUUCCUCACAUGGGACAAUGCUCCAAUAAUGAUGAUCAUCACACUUUCAACUCAAAACUUAGAGCAAUUAUGACUCUAUAUGGAAUGCCUUGGGUAGUGUACCGUGGCAAUGAUCUAGCAUGGCAUAGACAUCAAUGGAAACAUCAUGCUAGCUAUCUUAUGAUCGUGCAAAGGCAAUGUAGACGUGGUGGCACAUAUCAUGGUGGUAGUUGCAUGGCAAUAUAUCUCGGAAUGACUUUGCAAAAGUCAUAGUAGGUAGGUAUGUGGCUCUUUUGAGGGAGGCUAAUGGUGGGUUUUGUGCACCAGCGAAAGUUGCACGGCACUAAGAAUAUAGUGAUGGUGGAAGGUGAAAGUGCAUCUAAACCAUGGAUUCAACAUUAGUCAUGAAGAACUCAUAUACUUGUUGCAAAAGUUUUAUUAGAAAUCGAAACAAAGCAUUCAACGCAUACUCCUAGGGGAAGGGUUGGUAGGUAUAAACCAUCAUGCGAUCCCGACCGACACGCAAAGGAUGACAAUCAAUAUACUAAUCAUGCUCAGACUUCAUCACAUAGCGGUUCACCAUACGUGCAUGCUACGGGAAUCACUAACUUCAAGACAAGUAUUUCUAGAUCCACAACACCUUACUAGCAUGACUUCUAUAUUACCAUAACCACAACUCAAAACUAAUUGAGAUGAAUCAAACUUCUCUAACUAUUCAAUGUACAUGAAGGUGGAAGUUUUCGUAUCCCUUUGGAUAACUACCCCUUUUGAGACUAAUUUCAAAGCAUAGAUCAACUACCAAGCCACGCACCGCUGUGCUCUAAAAGAUAUAAGUGAAGCACAUAGAGCAAAAGUAUCUAGCUCAAAAGAUAUAAGUGAAGCACAUGUGAGCUGAAUUGUCUACCAAAAGAUAUAAGUGAAGCUCGACAAAAUCACGGUGAGUGAAUGUAUCUCUCUCUAGGUGUGCAGCAAGGAUGAUUGUGACACAAAAAUACAUAAAAGACUCCCACGAUACAAGACGCUCCAAGCAAAAACACAUAACAUGUGGUGAAUAAAAAUAUAGCCCCAAGUAACGUUACCGAUGGAUUGAAGACGAGAGAGGGGAUGCCUUCCCGGGGCAUCCCCAAGCUUAGGCUUUUACGGCAUCCUUGAAUCUAUUGGGGUGCCUUGGGCAUCCCCAAGCUUGAGCUCUAGCCACUCUUUAUCUUUUUGUCCAUAAGAACUUCACCCAAAACUUGAAAACUUCACAACACGAAACUUAAACAGAAACUCAUGAUAACAUUAGUACAAGAAAGCAAACCACCACUUCCUUAGGUACUGUAGCAAACUUAAAUUAUACUUGUGCUGAUGUUGGGUUACUGUACUUUCAAUCUUCCAUGGCUAAUACCCCCCGAUACUAUCCAUAGUUUCAUCAAAAUAAGCAACCAACAAAACAAAAACAGAAUCUGUUCACAGCAGACCAGUCUGUAGCAAUCUGUAUGUUUAGUAUACCUCUGGUACUUUAAAAAUUCUGAAAAAUUACGACAGUCUGAAGAAUUUGCGUAGCAAUCAGUAUCAAAAAGAAUCAACUCAAUAUCUCUUACAGAAAAAAGUGAACAUUCUUUUCGUGAGCAGAAAGUUUCUGUCUUUUCCAGCGUGACCAAACGAUCAUCCUCAAGACUAAUCAUAACGGUUUUGCUUGGCACAAACGCAAAAAGAAACACAAAAAACACAAUCAUAACAGAAUUAUGAAAGUGUGUAAAACAAAAAACAGAAAGAAAAAGGAUAGAUUCAUUGGGUUGCCUCCCAACAAGCGCUUUUGUUUUACGCCCUUAGCUAGGCAAAAGUGAUGGAAUCACGUAUAGUUAUCUUUGGUACUCAAACCAUAAGUAGCGUGAUCAUUUAUCAUCUUAAGAUUUUCAUCUUUAUUAGAUGAAUCACCACUAGCUCUAGGAACAAAAACAGGCUUGACGGUCUUUUUGAGAGUAAGAUUUGGAGUAUUUUGCAGAGCGGCAAAAGCGGAACCCAAGUUGGUUAUGACAUCUUCUAAUUUGCCAAUUCUAGAAGAAUCAUUAACUAUAAGUUCCUUCUCAUUUAAAUUUUUCAAAAAGUUUCCCACUUUGGAUCUGUACUGAGUAAUUUGAUUGUGGAUCUUUCUAUCCAAACCCUCAAUAAGUUCAACUGUGGCAAUUUUGUUUUCAAUAGCGUCAAGCCUUUGCAUCACGUGUUCCAAGGUCAAGGUAGUUCCAUUAACCAUGAGCGGGGGUGAGCCUACCAAAUUAAUGAUAGCUCUAUAGGAGUCAACAAUAUGGCUCCCCAAAAAGUUCCCGCCUACAAUGGUAUCAAGGAUAUACCUAUUCCAAGGAGAAAUUCCAACAUAGAAACUGCGAAGGAGGACGGUAGUGGAUUGCUUACGAGUUGAUCUACUUUGAGCAUUGCAAAUCCUGUACCAAGCGUCCUUCAAAUUUUCUUCCUCAUUCUGCGUGAAAUUGAGAACUUCAUUUUCAGGGAUGUCAUUUGGAGUGGUGGGUCUAGCCAUUGAUGGACUAUCUCACGCACAAACGAGCGGGAAGAGAGAAUGAAACGGGCAAAAGGAAACGGCGAAGGAGAAAGGCGAAUGAAAACGGCAAAUGUGAAGUGGAGGAGAGGAAAACGAGAGGCAACUGGCAACAAAAGUAAAUGCAAGAGAAGAGUUUGUGAGACCAAAUUGGAUAGAUCUUGAUUUCUCCUCCCCGGCAACGGCGCCAGAAAUACUACUGAUGUUUGCUGUGUAUCCCUUGCAACGGCGCCAGAAAUAGUUGUGUCGACGGCACCAGGAAUCCUUCAGCUACGGCUACGCCUUAAGGGACUUCCUAGGCAAGUAUGCAAAGGAUUUCCCCCGUGGCCUUGGAGCCUUGCGUUGGUGUUCCCUCGAAGCGGAAAGGGUGAUGUAGCACAGCGAUGGUAAGUAUUUCCCUCAGUUUGAGAACCAAGGUAUCAAUCCGCGGAAGAAUAUCUCAAGAUCCUGCACAAACACAAAAGCUUGCACCCAACACUAUGAAGGGGUUGUCAAUCCCUUAUAGAUUGUUUGCCAAGUGAGAACUGAAAGCAACAAAGUAACAAAGCAAAGUAAAAGCGGAGAUGUAAACGAUGGAUGUGAAUAGACCUGGGGGCCAUAGUCUUUACUAGUGGCUUCUCUCAUGAAAGCAAGACGGUGGGUGAACAAAUUACUGUCGAGCAAUUGAUAGAACCGCGCAAAGUCGUGACGAUAUCUAUGCAAUGAUUAUUUCUAUAGGCAUCACGUCCGAAACAAGUAGUCCGAUACUUUCUGCAUCUACUACAAUUACUCCAGAAGUCGACCGCUAUCCAGCANAGAACUUUGUAUUGAAGAUCCAAGAGAGAGAAGAAGCCGUCUAGCUACUAACUACGGACCCGUAGGUCUGAAGUGAACUACUCACGAGUCAUUGGAGGGGCGAUUAUGAUGAUGAAGAAGCCCUCCAACUCCAAAGUCCCCUCUGGCAGGGUGCCGGGAAGGGUCUCCAGAUGAGAUCUCUCGAAAACGGAAGCUUGCGGCGGCGGAAAAGUAUUUUCGAGGCUCCCCUGAUUUUUUGCGGAAUAUUUGGGAAUUUAUAGGCCAAAUACCUAGGUCAGGGGGCAGCCAGGGAGGCCACAAGCCUGGCCACCGCCGCCUCCCCCCUGGUGGCGGAGUGGGGGCUUGUGGUCUCCCUGGAGCCCACCUGGCUUGGCCCAAAAGCCCCAUGGACUUCUUCCAUUCGGGAAAAAAUCAUUUCGGGGUUUUUCUUCCGUUUGUUCUCCGUUCCAAAAUCAGAUCUGAAAAGAGUCAAAAACACGGAAAAAAGAGGAACUGGCACUUGGCACUGAAUUAAUAAGUUAGUCCCAAAAAGAUAUAAAAAGGUACAUAAAACAUACAAAGAAUACAAGAUAACAACGUGAAAACAUCAAAAAUUAUAGAUACGUUUGAGACGUAUCAAUCAUCAAGUACCAAAUGAUGUUUUGAGGAAUUACAUUGAGUGGACAACCCAAAAACCUUCUUCCCGUGCUUGCUCCACCCCAAGAAACACGACGAGCAGGAAUUAGCCCAUGCCCCGGGCAACGGUGAUUCGAGCGCUCCUCAAGGCCGUAGAAACUUGGAUUGGGAAUGAAAAACUCGGAUUGGAACUGCACAAUCCCGCAGCCAUCCACCUACGAGACAGAAAGGCGCAUAUUACGGCCCAUCCCGCAAAACCCUAGAUGAGAAAUCCCCAAAUCCAAUGUCAACCGAAAAUCCAAAUCGACUUACCUCACUGUCUACGGAGGAGCUUGCAGACGACAUUGCGGACGUACACAUGGACGUGCCCCAGCGGUGAAAAUAGGGAUGGGGUGUGACGGACCGCUAAAUCUAGUCAAAUCUCGGGAAAAAUGGAGCUCCGAGGUCGAGCUUUGAGAGGAGAAAGCUUAACUAGUGUGGCUCGGGCAUUUCAUCGAACACCUCAUGUGCAUAGGAGGUGAGCUAGAGCGCCCAAAUGCCCUCCCCUCGCCGGCCAGAAAAAACAGAGUGCUCUGCCGUGGCGAUGGGUAUAUAUAGGCAAAUUAUUUGUCCCGGUUCGUGGCAUAAACCGGGGCUAAAGCCCCCCUUCUAAACCGGUUCAAGGCACGAACCGGUACCAAUGGAUGUUGGCCAGGAGCGCAGCCCAUUGGUCCUGGUUCGUGCCUAGAACCGGGACAAAUGGGUCCAGACGAAUCGGGACCAAUGCCCACGAGGCCCCGGCCGGACCCCUGGGCUCAUGAACCAUGACUAAUGCCCCCCCAUGGGUCCCGGUUCGUGAAGAACCAGGACUAAUGGGUUGUCCAGGCCCGAACCAAAGCCUUGUUUUCUACUAGUGCCCCUUCCGCCGUCGAGCUGCCAUUGGUACCCCCAGUCCGCCGCCGGCUCUGGGGCGUUGCUUUCAGCCGAAUCUUCGGGGCGAAUCGUGCCGCUGGUGCGCCGCUGCCCUCUUUCGCCGAGCCGCUGCACCGGCGCCCCUUGAUCCGCCAAUCCACGUCUGUGGGAGAGCCACCGUCGGAGAUGGACUUGAGCCGGAGAUGGAUUCAUCCUCUUCGGAUGACUCGGAUGUUGAGAAGAUGCUUCUGACAUUUCACGAGCAGAGCUUGGUGAUGACCCUUGCUGUGAAGGAGCACGAAGACGAGAAACAAAAGAGGCGGCAUGGAUCCACUGUUGUCCGACUUUGCAUUCCUCGGAAUCGCCAUCUCGGCAGCGAGAUGCUAAUGCGAGACUACUUCAUCGUCAAUCCAACAUACCCGUCGCACCUCUUCCGGAGAAGGUACCGUAUGCGCAGAUCCCUCUUUGUUAAAAUUGUUGAAGCUUGCGAGGCGAAUUGUCGUUAUUUUACUCAAAGAAGGAAUGUCACGGGCUUGAAGGAAUUUAGUGCAUAUGAGAAAAUCUCGGUAGCUAUGUGUGUAAUUUCAUACGGCGUUCUGGCUGACUAUACCGACGAGUACCUUCGGAUUGAGUAAGAUAGUACAAUUGAGUUAGUUCAUAGGUUUGUCAAAGUGAUUGUCUGUGUCUUUGGUCCUCAAUAUCUUCGGACACCGAACGAGGAAGACACAAAAAAGUAUGGCAUUUAACGAAAGAAGAGGUUGGCCUCGCAUGUUAGGGAGCAUAGGUUGUAUGCAUUGGACUUGAAAAAAUUGCCCAAAAGCAUGGCAAGAAAUGUAUUAUGCCAAGUCUCGUGAUGUAAUAAUUGUGCUGGAGACCGUAGCUUCACAUGAUUUAUGGAUUUGGCAUUGCUUUUUUGUAUGUCGGGUACUCUAAAUGAUAUCAAUGUGUUGCGACGAUCUUAUUUGCUUGCUAUACUUGCUAGGGGUGAUGCUUCAGCUUGCAACUACACUAUCAAUGGGCAUGAAUACACAAAAGAAUACUAUCUUGCAGAUGAUAUAUAUCCUUCUUGGUGUAUAUUUGUGAAGGGCAUCAAAGACCCCCAAAGUAGGAAAGAGACUGAAUUCACAAGGGCACAAGAGGCAGCCCGAAAAGACAUUGAAAGAGCAUUUGGGGUUUUGUAAUCUAGGUUUGUCAUUGUUCGUGGUCCUGCUCAAUUUUGGGACAAGCGAUCCUUAAAAAUAUCAUGACAUGCCGUGUUAUUCUUCAUAAUAUGAUUCUCGAAGAUGAGAGAGGCAUGAACUUGGAGUUCUUCUAUGAUAAUGUGGACAGCCGUGUUAAAUCCGCUAGAGAUCCUAACCGAAUCAGAGCUUUUCUUCAGACCUACAGGGUGAUUGAAAAUGCAAACACCCACUGUCAACUUCGAAAGGAUCUCAUUGAGCACCAUUGGCAAAGGGCUGGGGAAUAGCAACAUUCCUUUUUCCAUCCAUUUAUCCAUUUAUUUUCAUUUCAUUCAUGUGUGAUUUGUGUACGGGACAAGUUUUGUAUUUAUGUGUGACAUUCAUUUAGUUUGCUAUGGUGAUUUAAAUAAUUAUUAUACUUUGAAUGAUUAAUGUAUUUAAAAUAUUGACAUUCUGUUUAUUUUGCACAUGAUGAGUAAUUCUAAUUUACGGGGUAUUCGGUUUGUGGGUCGACAGGGCGACGCCUGAGCAGAUCCCGCAUUAAAGACCCGUAUGCUAGCAUCUUCUGCGAAUAUGCUUUUAUACGGAUCCGUUUUGAAGAGUCUGUGUCCCACUCAUGCUACUUGGGACGUGUGAUCUAGUGCACAGUUACACGUAUCAAUGCGGCAGCGGCAUCUUACGUGCAUUGGUUAUCAUGACAGUUGUGCAGUAAACAACGGGAAAACGGGACUUGUGGAGUGUGCGGUAACAAAAAUGCUAAACAUACGGACAACUUCAACAGACUUUUACGGGACAGCAAACGUGGCACCAUCUAAUUUGCCCCCCUGAUUUUCACUCGUGGGGCUGUGCUCUUUAAUUAAAUCCGAAUCAAUCGUCCUUAAUGAGCCCGUAAAUCAUCUGUAAAAAGCCCGUAUGUCUAGCAUUAUUGGUGCGGUAAACAGCGGCUUGGUAGACGGUUGUCGUAAUAUUGUGCGUAAUAUGCAGCCAUUUCCUACUAGUGCGCUCAUCGCCGUUUACGGGCUAAUUCCCCAACCGGCACACACCCCUCUCCGACCUGAACCGGCCAAUGUAUCUUCUUCUUCUUUUUUUCUAAUACUUCUAUACUAUUCCCUGUACGUUGAUUGUUUUUUUGAGGGCUCAUAUUAGGUUUUUUCUUUUUCUUUUUCUUCUUACUUUUAAUUUUUUUAAAUCCGUGAACUUUAUGAAAUUUUGAAUUUUUUUUCUUAAAAUUCAUUAUAAACUUGCAAACUUUUUCUUUCAAAAUCCAUGAACUUUUUUCAAAAUUUUGAUGAUUUCUUUAAAACCAAUGAAAUUAUCCAAUUUUGAGAACCUUUUUAAAAAGUGAUGAACUUGCUUUCAAAUUUGGCGGACUAUUUUUCGGAAUUGAUGAUCGUUUUUUUUAAAUUGAUGAACUAUUUUAAAACCGAUGAUCUUUGUUGAAAUUUCUGAACUUUUCUUCAAAAUCAAUGAACUUUUUCUAAAGUCUCACUUCUUUUCAAAAUUGAUAACUCUUUCCAGAUUUACAUUUUUUAUUGAACUUUUGAAAAGUCAAUGAUCAAUUGGUCAACCUGUAAACUAGUCAACUGAACAACCCGUCAACCGAGGCGUGAUGCAUGCGAGAGCAAUUCGGUAGGGUGACGCCGUACAUGACUAAUGACCCACAAGUAUAGGGAAUCAAUCGUAGUCCUUUCGAUAAGUAAGAGUAUCGAACCCAACGAGGAGCAGAAGGAUCUGACAAGUGGUUUUGAGUAAGGAAAUAUCUGCAAGCACUCAAAUUAUCGGUAACAAGUGAUUGUGUGGUGAGAUGAUUCAUAGCGAGCAACAAGUAACAAAAGUAGCAAUGGUGCAGCAAAGUGGCACAAUCCCUUUUGUAGCAAGGGACAAGCCUGGACAAAGUCUUAUAGGAGGAAAAACGCUCCCGAGGACACACGGGAAUUUCUGUCAUGCUAGUUUCAUCAUGUUCAUAUGAUUCGCGUUCGUUACUUUGAUAGUUUGAUAUGUGGGUAGACCGGCGCUUGGGUACUGCCCUUACUUGGACAAGCAUCCCACUUAUGAUUAACCCCUCUCGCAAGCAUCCGCAACUACGAAAGAAGAAUUAAGUCAAAGUCUAACCAUAGCAUUCAACUAGUUGAUCCAAAUCAGCCCCUUACGAAGCAACGCAUAAACUAGGGUUUAAGCUUCUGUCACUCUGGCAACCCAUCAUCUACUUAUUACUUCCCAAUACCUUCCUCUAGGCCAAAAUAAUGGUGAAGUGUUAUGUAGUCGACGUUCACAUAACACCACUAGAGGAAAAACAACAUACAACAUAUCAAAUUACCGAACGAAUACCAAAUUCACAUGACUACUAUUAGCAUGACUUAUCCCAUGUCCUCAGGAACAAAAUUAACUACUCACAAAGCAUNNNNNNNNNNNNNNNNNNNNNNNNNNNNNNNNNNNNNNNNNNNNNNNNNNNNNNNNNNNNNNNNNNNNNNNNNNNNNNNNNNNNNNNNNNNNNNNNNNNNNNNNNNNNNNNNNNNNNNNNNNNNNNNNNNNNNNNNNNNNNNNNNNNNNNNNNNNNNNNNNNNNNNNNNNNNNNNNNNNNNNNNNNNNNNNNNNNNAACUAGCAUCAACUACAAAGAGUACCAAUCGGAGCCGCGAGACGGAGAUUGGUUACAAGUGAUGAACUAGGGUUUGGAGAUGAGAUGGUGCUGAUGAAGAUGUUGAUGGUGACGAGUGCCCUCCGAUGAGAGGAGUGUUGGUGAAGAUGAUGGCGACGAUUUCACCCUCCGGGAGGGAAGUUUCCCCGGCAGGAUCGUCCUGCCGGAGCUCUAGAUUGGUUCUGCUCAAGUUCCGCCUCGUGGCGGCGGCGAAACCACGAAAAACCUCCUCCUUGAUUUUUUCUGGACGAAACCCUUCAUAUAGAAAAAGAGGGGGCAAGUGGGCCAGCAGGUUACCCACAAGCCCUCAUGGUGCGGCCUAGGGGGUGGCCGCACCGUGCAGGCUUGUGGCCAACCCCUGGCGCCCCUCUGGCACUUCUUCGGCCCAGUAUUUUUUAUAAAUCCGGAAAAAAAUCCUCGUUGAUUUUUACAGCGUUUGGAGUUGCGCAGAAUAGGUAUCUCAACUUUGCUCCAUUUUUAGGCCAGAAUUCCAGUUGCCGGCAUUCUCCCUCUUCAUGUAAACCUUGCAAAAUAAGAGAGAAAAUGCAUAAGAAUUGUACUGUGAAGUGGAAUAACAGCCAAAGAAGCGAUAAAUAUCAACAUGAAAACAUGAUGCAAAAUGGACGUAUCAACUCCCCCAAGCUUAGACCUCGCUUGUCCUCAAGCGAAAACCUAGCUUCAUAGAUAUGUCCACAUGUUUAGGGAGAGAGGUGUCGACAAAACAAGACACGAACAUGCAUGCAUCAUGAUCAAGAUCAGAACAGCAAUACCAACAUAUAAUCUCUCAUGCUAAAGUGAUAAUUCCUUCACAAAGUAAGGCAUGGAUCAAGAACCUUACCGAGAAGUAACAACCGAUAGCCUUUAGUUAUUGAAGCAUUUGCUAUUUAUCACAACAUCAGAAAGAGUCAAAUAAGAGCUUGUAAAGCAAAUCCACAUACUCAAUCAUUCUUUCGUUCUCUACAAUUGCUACAACUCACGUGGUACUCAUGAGAUCAAAGUUUCAGCUGGACACAGAGAAAGAUAGGGGCUUAAAGUUUUUCCUCCCAACUGCUUACCUCAAGGGUAAUGUCAACAAUAAUAAUUCAUGAGUACUUACCUCCAAGUUGACAUAUGAAUAUAGAUCUUUCCCAAGCAUAUGACGUUAGCCAAGAUAAAGGCGAAAUAAGGAAUUGGUGAAGAUCACCAUUACUCUUUCAAGGGCAAAAAGUAAAGGUACAAGAUAGGCCCUUCGCAGAGGGGAGCAGAGGUUGUCAUGCGCUUUUGAGGUUUGGAUGUGUGUCCUCUUAGUGCGGAGGAAUGUCACUUUAUAUUGCCUCCUGUGAUAAAGAACUUUAUUAUGCAGUCUGUUGCUUUUAUGUCUUCCUCAUCACAGGUUCGUACAAAGCUUACUUUCCACACACUAAUAGAUCAUACAUAUUAGAGAGCAAUUUUUAUUGCUUGCACCGAUGACAACUUACUUGAGGGAUCUUAUUCAACCCAUAGGUAGGUAUGGUGGACACUCAUGGCAAAACUGGGUUGAUGGUUUAUGGAUGCACAAGUAGUAUCUCUACUUGGUGCUGGAGGUUUUGGCUAAUAUGAGGUGGAAGCAAUCGUCACAUGCUAAGGGAUCUCUAAUCAUAUAACAUUGUUCAGAGCCAAGCAAACACAAUUCAUUACGUUGUCUUCCUUGUCCAACAUGUACUUCUAGGCAUGUAAUAGUUUAGUGAGUGUUCACAAUAAUAGAUGGUGUCAGAGAUGAUAUAUUUAUAUGUGAACCUAUCCUUUAUCACUUCCUAUUAAUUGCAACCAUGACCAAGGUCUACGUUUGCCUACCCUCAACAAGUUUCAAUCCUCAUUCUUUUUAUAUGUGAAGCCAUCACUUGCCAUAAGAUCAUUACAUGAUCUUUCAUGCUUUUGUUCUAUUCUCACUCUUUUGAUCAUGGCAAGAGGCAAAGCCCUUCAACUAAGACACUCUUUAUUAUAUGGCUCACGAGAUCGAAUACAUUGGGGGUGACACAAAGCAAAACUCAAGACUGAAACAUUAAGACUUUUAAUCUACUAGAGAAAGAGAAAACUGAAAAGGAAAACUAAAACAAAGGUAAAGGCAAAAGAUGUGAUGGUGAUACGAUACCGAGGCAACUCCCCCAAGCUUGGCACAAGCCAAGGGGAUUGCUCAUACCAAUGCUCAGUUGUCUUCCUUUGGUGGUGAUGGUGGAGGAGUUGCAACACGAGUUUGAUCCUCCGUCUUCCAAGGCAUAGGUACUCCAUCAUGGAAAGAUGAACGAGUCUCCGGAAUCCUCAAAUCUGCACCCAACCGUAUUGAUUUAAAUCUAUACUCAUACUCACAGUUUUGGUUCUGCAGGUCAUAGAUCUGGGCCUGGAGUUGAUCAAUCCUGUCAUAGAGCCUGGAGAGAUGCUUCCCAAUGUCAUUGGCAUCAAUCUUGUGCUUGUUGGUGAACUCUGUGAUAAUCAUGUGGUUGGCGUUGAGUCCACCCUCCACCAUCCCUUGGUACUUGAAGACUUGUUGCUCCAUUGCUUCGAGCCUCGUAUCCAUGCUUCCGGUCUUCUUAGGCCCCUCAACAUCACGGAUGUGCAACAUCCCCUCACGCAUCUCGAUAGAUUGAGGGUGUUGCAGCACUCCCGUGAGGUAGGGAUUGAUGACCUUCUCAAAGAUCUUGUCCUUCGGAGCUUUUGGGGAAGUCACAGCGAUCUAGAUCUGCAACAGAAACAGGCUCGAAUGAAAAACAGAGGAAAUCUGCAUGAUGCAGGGGUCAGACCAAACGGAAGUAUAUAUAAUGAUUUUUUUCAGACCAGAAGAAGUACCCCGCACGAAAACGGAGUCCGGGAGGCGCACGAGGUGGCCACAAGCCCUCACGGCGCGGCCAGGGGGUGGGCCCGCGCCGUGCAGGCUUGUCACCUCCUCGCGCACUUUCCGGACUACUUCCAAAUUUUGUAUUUUUUCAAAUAUUCCAAAACGGAGAAAAUUUCCUACUGGAAAAGUUUUGGACUCUGUUUUCUUACCGAAUCACAUACCGCUUCGUUUUCGGAGUCUGAAACAGGCUGAUAAAUGUCCCUUAGGUAUUCUUCCGGAGUUAUGGUAUUGAUAAUAUUGCUUUCAACAUUUAUGGGAGUACCUCAGAUAUAAUGCUUGAUUCUCUGCCCAUUUACAACUCUCGGAAAAUUACCUUCCGUGUUGUUGAUCUUGAUAGCACCGAAACGAUAUACUUCCUCAACAACAUAGGGACCUUCCCAUUUAGAGAGAAGCUUGCUUGCAAAGAAUCUUAAACAAGAGUUAUAUAGCAAGACAUAAUCACCUACAUUGAACUCACGCUUUUGUAUCCUCUUAUCAUGCCACCUCUUAACCUUCUCUUUGAACAGCUUAGCAUUCUCAUAUGCCUGAGUUCACCAGUCAUCAAGCGAGCUAAUAUCAAAUAACCUCUUCUCACCGGCAAGUUUGAAAUCAAAGUUGAGCUCUUUGAUUGCCCAAUAAGCUUUAUGCUCUAGCUCAAGAGGUAAGUGACAUGCUUUCCCAUACACCAUUUUGGAUGGAGACAUGCCCAUGGGAUUCUUAUAGGCAGUUCUAUAAGCCCACAGUGCAUCAUCGAGCUUCUUAGACCAAUUCUUUCUAGACCUCUUGAUAGUCUAUUGCAAAAUCAGUUUAAUCUCUCUAUUACUUAGCUCUACUUGACCACUGGACUGAGGGUGAUAGGGGGACACAAUUCUUUGGUUGACAUCGUACUUAGCAAGUGUUUUACGGAAAGCACCAUGAAUGAAGUGUGAACCACCGUCGGUCAUUAGAUAUCUAGGGACUCCAAGUCUAGGGAAGAUAACAUGUUUCAGCAUCCUCAUAGAGGUGUUGUGAUCAGCACUACUAGUGGGGAUAACGUCUACCCACUUAUUGACAUAAUCAACAACAACUAGGAUAUGAGUAUACCCGUUGGAUUUUGGAAAAGGUCCCAUAUAAUCAAAGCCCCAAACAUCAAAUGGUUCAAUGACAAGUGAAUAGUUCAUAGGCAUUUCCUGACGGUUGCUAAUAUUACCUAUUCUUUGACAUUUGGCACAAGACAAGACAAACUUACGGGCAUCCUUGAAGAGAGUGGGCCAAUAGAAACCUGAUUGCAAUACCUUGUGUGCAGUUCUAUCUCCCGCAUGGUAUCCUCAGUUGGCUUCGGAGUGACACUUCUGUAGGAUCUGUCCCUGUUCAUGUUCAGGUACACAACGUCUAAUAACACCAUCUACUCCUUCCUUAUAAAGGUGAGGAUCAUCCCAAAAGUAAUGUCUUACGUCAAAGAAGAAUUUCUUCUUCUGCUGGUAUGUGAAACUAGGUGGUAUAUAUUUGGCAACGAUAUAGUUUGCAUAAUCAGCAUACCACGGUGCACUACGUGAAGCAUUGAUGACAUUCAGUUGCUCAUCGGCAAAGCUAUAAUCAAUAGGUUGUGGGUCAUCAAGAACGUUCUCCAACCUAGACAAGUUAUCUGCUACUGGGUUAUCAGCACCCUUUCUGUCGACAACGUGCAAAUCAAAUUCUUGUAGCAAGAGAACCUAUCCGAUAAGUCUAGGUUUAGCGUCCUUCUUCUUCAUGAGGUACUUAAUAGCAACAUGAUAGGUGUGAACAGUGACUUUGGAAUCAACUAUGUAAGACCUGAACUUUUCACAUGCAAACACGACUGCUUAAAACUCCUUCUCCGUAGUAGCAUAGUUUCUCUGGGCACUGUCUAGAGUUUUACUAGCGUAGUGAAUAACAUUCAACUUCUUAUCAACUCUUUUCCCUAGAACAACACCAACAGCAUAAUCACUAGCGUCACACAUGAUCUCAAAAGGUAAGUUCCAAUCAGGUGGUUGAACAAUAGGUGCAGUUAUCAAAGCCCUCUUAAGUAUUUCGAAGGCUUCCUCACAAUCAUCGUCAAAGACAAAAGGAAUAUCCUUUUGCAAGAGAUUGGUAAGAGGCCUAGAAAUCUUAGAGAAGUCUUUAAUGAACCUUCUAUAGAAACCAGCAUGACCAAGGAAACUUCUUAUACCUUUGAUAUCUGUGGGGUAUGGCAUUUUCUCGAUUGCAUCAACCUUAGCCUUAUCGACUUCAAUACCUCUUUCAGAAAUUUGAUGUCCUAAGACGAUGCCUUCAUUAACCAUAAAGUGGAACUUCUCCCAAUUCAAGACAAGAUUGGUGUCUUUACAUCUCUGCAAGACUCGAUCAAGGUUGUUGAGGCAAUCAUCAAAAGAAGACCCAUAAACGGAGAAGUCAUCCAUGAAAACCUCAACAAUCUUUUCACAAAAGUCAAAGAAUAUAGCCAUCAUACAUCUUUGAAAUGUGGCAGCUGCAUUACAUAAGCCAAAAGGCAUACGUCUAUAAGCAAAGGUACCAAAAGGACGAGUGAAAGUGGUUUUCUCCUGAUCAGAUUGUGCAACUGGUAUUUGGGAGAAACCAGAAUAUCCGUCUAGAAAGCAGAAGUGUGUGUUCUUGGACAGCCUUUCUAGCAUUUGGUUGAUAAAAGGCAAAGGGUAAUGAUCUUUCCUAGUGGCUUUAUUCAAUUUCCUGAAAUCGAUCACCAUCCUAUAGCUAGUAAUAAUCCUUUGUGGGAUUGAUACGUCUCAAAUGUAUCUAUAAUUUUUUAUGGUUUCAUGCUGUUAUCUUGUCAACUUUGGAUGUUUUAUAUACCUUUUAUAUCUUUUUUGGGACUAACUUAUUAAUUCAGUGCCAAGUGCCAGUUCCUAUUUUUUCUGUGUUUUUGACUCUUUUCAGAUCUGAUUUUGGAACGGAGUCCAAACGGAAUAAAAUCCCUGAAAUGAAUUUUUCCAGUACACACGAAGAUCGGGGGACUUGAGGGCCAAGGCAGGAGGCCCACAGGGAGCCCACAAAUCCCUGUAGCCGCGGCCAAGGGGGCCACGGCUACCAGGCUUGUGGCCUCCCUGGAGCUCCCCUGCCCUAGCUCUUUGGCCUAUAUAUUCCCUCAAAUCCCAGAAAAAAUUAGGGCGUCCAUGAAACCACUUUUCCGUCGCCGCAAGCUUCCGUUUCCGCGAGAUCUCAUCUGGAGCCCCUUCCCGGUGCCCUGCCGGAGGGGAAUUUGGAGCUGGAGGGCUUCUACAUCAACAUCAUUGCCUCUCCAAUGACUCGUGAGUAGUCUACUUCAGACCUACGGGUCCGUAGUUAGUAGCUAGAUGGCUUCUUCUCUCUCUUGGAUCUUCACUACAAAGUUCUCCAUGAUNGUGCUUGGUUUUGGGUUCAUACCGUGCGGUGACCUUUCCCUGUGGCAGAAGGGGCAUCAAGGCACGCAUCGUGUUGUUGCCAUCAAGGGUAACAAGAUGGGCUUUCAUCAUAGAUUUGAGAUUUUCCAUCUACAUCAUGUCAUCUUGCUUAAGGCGUUACUAUGUUCUUAUGAACUCAAUACACUAGAUGCAUGCUGGACAGCGGUCGACGUGUGGAGUAAUAGUAGUAGAUGCAUAAAGUAUCGGUCUACUUGUUUUGGAUGUGAUGCCUAUAUGUAUGAUCAUUGCCAUAUAUAACGUCAUGACUUUGCGCGGUUCUAUCAAUUGCUCGACAGUAAUUCAUUCACCCACCGUCUGCUUGCUUUCAUGAGAGAAGCCACUAGUGAACACUAUGGCCCCCGGUCUACUCACAGUUAUCAUCUCAGCCUUUAAUUUUACUUUGCUUUGUUUACUUUUUUGCUUUCAGUUGUCACUUUGAAACAAUCUAUAAAUGAUUGACAACCCCUUCAUAGCGUUGGGUGCAAGCUCUUUGUGUUUGUACAAGUACUUGUGACUUGACGCGAUCCUCCUACUGGAUUGAUACCUUGGUUCUCAAACUGAGGGAAAUACUUACCGCCACUGUGCUACAUCACCCUUUCCUCUUCAAGGGAACACCAACGCAAGGCUCCAAGGCUGCGGGGGAAUCCUUUGCAUAUUUGCCAAGGAAAUCCCUAUAGGCGUAGCCAGCAGCAGGGAUCAAUGCAUCCUUGUCAUUAGGGACAACGGUAAUGCCUCCCUUCUUAGGAACGCAAUGCACCGGACUCACCCAAUCGUUGUGAGCAACAGGAUAAAUGAUACCUGCUUCGAGGAGCUGUAGUAUUUCUUUUCUCACUACCUCUUUCAUCUUAGGAUUUAAUAUACUUUGAUGAUCAGCAACUGGUUUGAAGUCAGGAUCAAUUUUAAUCUUGUGCUGGCAUAGGGUAGGACUAAUGCCCUUAAGAUCAUCAAGAGUAUAUCCAAUAGCAGCACAGUGCUUCCUCAGAGUUUUUAGUAACUUCUUUUCUUCAUGCUCUGAGAGGUUAGCACUAAUUAUAACAGGAUAUAUCUCUUUUUCAUCAAGAUAAGCAUACUUAAGAGUAUCAGGCAACUGUUUAAGCUCGAACACAGGAUCACCUUUUGGUGGGGGUGGAUCCCAAGCAGUUCAACACGCAAGUUAUUCUUAAGGAUAGGAUAUUGUUCUAAGACAACUCUAUCUAUCUCAUCCCUUUCAUCCAUAUGCAUAUCAUUUUCAUGCUCAAGCAAGUAUUGCUCUAAGGGAUCGGUAGGAGGCACGGCAAUAGAGGCUAAGGCAAUAGUUUCCUCCCUACUAGGAAACUCCUUUUCAUGAGGUUGUCUACCAAACUUAGAGAAAUUGAACUCAUGUGACACACCUUCAAAGCCAACAGUGACAGUUUGCUUCUCACAAUCAAUAUGAGCAUUGACAGUAUUGAGAAAAGAUCUACCAAAUAUGAUGGGACAAAAGCUAUCUUAUGCGGUAGCAAGAACGAGGAAAUCAGCAGGAUACUUUGUUUUACCACACAAGACUUCAACAUCCCUAACAAUUCCCACAGGGCAGAAAGUAUCUCUAUUGGCAAGCUGAAUAGUGACAUCAAUAGGCUCUAUCUCAACAGGUGCAAUCUCAUCUUUCAUUUCAUCGUAUAAGGAUUGAGGUAUUGCACUAACACUAGCACCCACGUCACAUAAGCCAUGAUAACAAUGAUCUCCUAUCUUAACAGAAACCACAGGCAUGCCAACAACAGGCCUAUGUUUGUCUCUAACGUGAGGUUUAGCAAUUCUAGCAGCAUCUUCAUAGAAGUGAAUAUUAUGUCCCUCAACAUCGUCGGACAAAAGAUCUUUGAUAAUAGCAAUGCUAGGUUCAACUCUAAUUUGCUCAGGGGGUGUAGGUGUUCUAAUAUAGCCUCUACAUAUCAUAGUUGAAGCUUCAGAAUGAUCCUUUAUCCUAACAGGGAAAGGUGGUUUCUCAAUGUAAGCACUCGGAACAACAGGACCAUUAUAGGCAAUGACUUUCUCUUCAACUGGAGUGGGUUUAACUACAUUGACUUCUAAAGGAGGAGGAUAUUUAAACCACUUCCCUUUGGGGAGAUCAAUAUGAGCAUCAAAGGAUUCACACAAUGAAGCUACUAUCUCAGAGUCAAGUCCAUACUUAGCGCUAAAAUCACUAAAGAUAUUUGUCUCAACAAAGGAUUUAACGCAAUCAAACGUGAAAUUAUUACCUGACUCCUUACCUUCUUCAAGCUCCCAAUCUUCAGAGUUGCGUUUAAUUAUCUCCAAUAAAUUCCAUUUGAAGUCAAUAUCUCUCUUCAUAAAAGAACCGGUACAAGAAGUGUCAAGCAUGGUGCGAUCAUCAUGAGAAAGCCGAGCAUAGAAGUUCUGAAUGAUAAUUUCUCUUGAGAGCUCAUGAUUGGGACAUGAAUAUAGCAUUGAUUUAAGCCUCCCCCAAGCUUGAGCGAUGCUUUCUCUGUCACGAGGCCAAAAAUUGUAAAUAUAAUUCCGAUCACGAUGUACUAAAUGCAUAAGAUAAAACUUUUGAUGAAAUUCCAAUUUCAACCGAUUGUGGUCUCAUGAUCUAGUAUCAUCACAUAGCCUAUACCAUGUCAACGCCUUAUCCUUCAAAGAUAAAGGAAAGACCCUCUUCUUGACCUCAUCCUCGGGCAAACCUGCAAGCUUAAAUAAACCACAAACUUCAUCUACAUAGAUUAGAUGCAAGUCUGGAUGUGAUGUUCCAUCUCCUGUAGAAGGAUUAGCCAGGAGUUUCUCAAGCAUACCCGAAGUAAAUUCAAAGCAAAUAUUUUCAGUAGGUGCAGCAGGUUGAGGAGAAACUAUUUGUGCUUCCGUUCGAGGUGAAGAUACCCCGAAGAAGCCCCUCAAAGGGUUAGUUUCCAUAGUUACUAGUGACAAUAAAUUUCAGCACACUAUAUGAAUGUUUCCUUACCAAGUUCCACUUACCAAAGGCGCUUCACUCCCCGGCAACAGCGCCAGAAAAGAAUCUUGAUGACCCACAAGUAUAGGGGAUCAAUCGUAGUCCUUUCAAUAAGUAAAAGUGUCGAACCCAACGAGGAGCAGAAGGAUCUAACAAGUGGUUUUCAGCAAGGAAAUAUCUGCAAGCACUGAAAUUAUUGGUAACAAGUGAUUGUGUGGUGAGAUGAUUCGUAGCGAGCAACAACUAACAAAAGUAGCAACGGUGCAGCAAAGUGGCCCAAUCCCUUUUGUAUCGAUGGACAAGCAUGGAAAAAGUCUUAUAGGAGGAANAAUAAUGGUGAAGUGUUAUGUAGUCGACGUUCACAUAACACCACUAGAGGAAAAACAACAUACAACAUAUCAAAUUACCGAACGAAUACCAAAUUCACAUGACUACUAUUAGCAUGACUUAUCCCAUGUCCUCAGGAACAAAAGUAAUUACUCCCAAAGCAUAAUCAUAUUCAUGACCAAAGAGGUAAUGAGUAGCAUCAAGGAUCUGAACAUAAACUCUUCCACCAAAUAAUCCAACUAGCAUCAACUACAAAGAGUAAUCAACACUACUAGCAACCUUACAAAUACCAAUCGGAGUCGCGAGAUGGAGAUUGGUUAUAAGUGAUGAACUAGGGUUUGGAGAUGAGAUGGUGCUGAUGUAGAUGUUGAUGGUCACGAGUCCCCUCCAAUGAGAGGAGUGUUGGUGAUGACGAUGGCGAAGCUUUCCCCCUCCGGGAGGGAAGUUUCCCCGGCAGGACUGUCCUGCCGGAGCUCUAGAUUGGUUAUGCUCAAGUUCCGCCUCGUGGUGGCAGCGAAACCACAAAAAAGCUCCUCCUUGAUUUUUUUUCUGGACGAAACCCUUCAUAUAGAAAAAGAGGGGGGCAAGUGCGCCAGCAGGUUGCCCACAAGCCCUCAUGGCGCGACCUGGGGGGUGGUCGCACCGUGCAGGCUUGUGGCUAACCCCUGGCGCCCCUCUGGCACUUCUUCGGCCCAGUAUUUUUUAUAAAUAUGGAAAAAAAAUCCUCGUUGAUUUUUACGGCAAUUGGAGUUACGCAGAAUAGGUAUCUCAACUUUGCUCCACUUCCAUGCUAGAAUUCCAGUUGCCGGCAUUCUCCCUCUUCAUGUAAACCUUGGAAAAUAAGAUAGAAAAGGCAUAAGAAUUGUACCGUGAAGUGAAAUAACAUCCAAAGAAGCGAUAAAUAACGACAUGAAAACAUGAUGCAAAAUGGACGUAUCAAUGACCUCAAGUGUGGAUGCUCAUCGAUAAAUGAAACUUCAACUUCUAUUCAUCCCGUCAAUGUUGUUGUCCUCAAGUAUGACGGGCCAAAACAAUUGUUUGUCCCUGAGUUUCAAGGCCCGCCAAACCCACUUACCUAGUCUUUCAUACAAGACACGUCCCGAAUUUCACUUCUAUUUUACGGUUGAUCAUAGAAGUAAACUUGAUAAAUUGCAUAUGUGACACUUGACGUAACAUGGGGUUUUCUGUUUCUUUUAUAGAUUUAUUGUUUCAAAUUGUUUUAUUGCCUCAUCAAUGUGUCCAAAUCGCGAACCAUUUUUGUCAUUGUGUUUCUCGUGUCAAGGUCCUUGAAACUAAAUCCCAUGUUAACAGAUUUGAAUGAACUUUUUUAUUAAAAAUAAGAGAACAUGAUAACCGAAAAAACCCGAAAGCACAACUAUGCUUUUCACUUUUAGUGAAGGACAUCUCUCCUCAAAUUCUUCUCGGAAAGCAUAGGUGUGCUUAAUCAUGAAGCACAGUUGUGCAUUUCACAUUUUGGGAAACAUGACUGUAUUUUUUACUUUUUGGCAAGGGCUGUUGUGCUUCACGAGGAACACGAUUAUGGUGUCGCGAAGCAAAACUAUGUAUUUCAGUUUUGGGAAGCACAUUUGUCCUUCACGCGAAAGCAUGCUUUUUCACACGGUGGUUCAUGUAAGAAAAAAAGUAUUUGUAAAGAAUACCUGGGAAAAUCAAACAACCUUAUAAAACUGAGAAAACCUAAAACAGUGCAGGUUAAAGGAAAAAAAGGUGUUCCCACGUGUGGGCCCAACGCACGACACAUGGCGGCGACUGGGGACACCACUCAUGUAGCCACCAUUGUGCGCUUGCAAUGGGUACCUAUUGGUUAGUUAAUCCCAAGAUAUGAACAUGAGUGAGCGGACUGAAGUUUCAGGGAAUUGUAUGUUAUGAGGAUGAGGGAAAGGGCUGCUCAACAGUCAAUUUUCGCAUCCACUACAACAAAUAAUAUUAUAGUCAACUCGGUCUUUCGACCAAUAAAGGCCUGAAGACCACAAAGGUCUCGGUUGUGUAACCCAUUAAGAGUACAUCAACAAUAAGCCUACAUAUCUCGCCAUGGACUGUCGACCAUAAAGAUCAGGCCUCACUCCGCAUAGAAUAUCAUGAAGUAGGCAAUAUUUGGCCUCGUACAAACUCAUGAUUCCUUCACAUAUGGUGGUUGAUGGCUCUCGAGUGACUUGAGGAGUAACAAGCCAAGCAAAGCCGCUUGGACUACACCGUCCAAAGAUAUUUAUUAAAAUCACUCUCAAGAACCCACAUGAAAUCUCUCCUCAUAAAACGAUAUCAUUUGAAGCAAGAGAGGGACACUUAGGUGUAGGGGUCAAGAAAGAGAGGAGCAUGUCCUUCAGGAAUCAAGGAAGUGUUCUUGGAAUCACCCAAAUAUGUUCAUUUCUUCUCUUGCUUUGGGGCUCUCAAUAAUUGAACGCAAGAGUUGUGGAAUGGUUGGAAAUGAAAUCUUUUGCUUCCCCACUUUCCACAACAAAGUGGUAUGCAAGUCUAUACACAUAGCUAUGUAGAAUUCUAGUAGUUACAAUGAAAAGGUAACUAGCCCAAAAGUACCGGAGAAAGAAACUCGGAACUACCUGAUACAUUCAAACAUAAUGGCUAAAGUUUAUCCAGGAAUCAUGUUAUCUCCAUGGUCAACAAAUGCUAUGGUCACGAGACCCACUAUCAAAAACUCUCAUGGGGUCUACUAGCUAGAGCACAUCUCUUGUGUUCUAUCCUUGAAAUAGGAUAAAUGUUCACCCUUGUCGCAUGUUCACACUUGACAACAACAAUAUCUUCUAAAUCUGGAAUGGUAUGCCAUCCUAUGAUCCAGACUCGUCAACUUCAACUCUCUACUAAGGUUAAAGGCGGACAUGGAUUCACUCAAACAAGGCAAGACCAAAUAAUAAGAGUAUUGGCAAGGGGGCAGUCCAUAUUGCACCCAAACUAUUAAUUCCCCAUUUGGAUGAGUGAAUUAUGAAACCUAACACUUCGUCAUCUGAAAUUGCAUAGUCAAAAUUGCAUGGCACAAAAAAGGGUCCAUGAUAAUAUUCCAUUUAAUUUAUUGAAUUAUACUAUCGAACUUCCCUAAAGCAUAAUAGGCUACCUACAAUAAAAAGAAACACCUCAAGCAAGUAGAAACUCAGCCUCACUAUAACACACGUACUAUUCCAUGGUAUUUAGGGGGGCGUAGUCUUGUAGAAUAACAUAUCAGAUAGAAUGACUUACCAUUGGAGAUAAAACAAUUAGAAACAAUAUUGCAUUGGAACCUAGAGAACAACGACACCGCUAAAAUUCUAUACAUAUGCCAAUGUCUGAGAGACAUUGAGAAGAAGUUGGUCACAUGGUAGGAGCUAGUAGCAUAAGGCGAGCAUAUGGAUCUCAAAUUAUGGUCUCCUAUGAAUGAUAAACUAUUGGUGAAGGUGGGAUAUGAGGAUGUGGUGAUGAUCAUCUCGACUGGUCCAUGAGUAGGGAAAACACCUGAAUUUUCAUGAUGAAAAAAAUCAACAUUGAAGAACCCUUCAAAAAAGGGGUGAUCACUUUUCACUUAACAACAUAAUAUGUAUUCCCUUGGCAAACAUUUCUCAUGCAUACAAACUUGGAAAAGUUGUUACAGGCCCCCCUCCCAAAAAACUCUGAACCACGGUGAUUUCCCCCACAUCUAAAGCAAAUCACACCCUGCCCUCGGACGAGAGACAUGUAUUUUGUUCUUGUGUGCAUGACUCUGAGGAAAACUGAAAUCUUCAAUGAUUUAAUUUGAUGUUUGCUAAGAUUGUAGGCAUGGGCUAGUUCGUAAAUGGUAAUCUCUCAACAAGCUAACUCUUAUAUUUGAAGUCCCUCUUAUGCCCACCACUAGUGUCAUCGGUACCAUUUGUACAAGCAAUCCCUACUACCAUGAGUUGAAUUUGUAACUCACCCCCUAGCUUACUCCACCAUUAUGGAUUAAUUGGUUGGCCAAUACAUUCUCAAAACAUGUCAAUACUAUGGAUUAAGACAUUCAAAGAAACUCUUAGCCUUCUCAUGACCCUUCGCCUUAAUAUUGUCCAUAAACUCAGCUAUCUUACUAAACUCAACCGCAUAUUCAUCGAUCAUCUUAUCCCCUGCUCGACAUUUCUUAGGGUGACAUCCAUCUUGUUGUUGAAUGUAGAAGGUUAGUACUUAGUAGUAAACUACUCACCUAAAACAUCCCAUGUGGACAAUCCAUGGUUCGGGCUCCAAGCGGCACACAAAAUCCUUCCCACCAAACAUUAGCAGUACCCUUUGGUUGAAAAUCCAUGUGUGAAACUCUAUCAUGUGAUGUCGUUACCCAUGCAUCAAUGUAUUUAUCCAUCACGCGCAACGAACUUGCAACAAUCAUUGGUAUCCAUGGUCCAUCAAAAGUAUACAAGCAUGACCACUUGGUGAACAUCAUGUUCGAACGAGCAUGUCCAUCAUCAUUACUGUACUGGCUCGUAGUUGCUUCCGCCUCUUCAUUAUGACUUUGCUGGGACUCGAAAUACGACCACUCAACCAAAAUGUAUAGGUAUGUAUGUUACCACUAACAUAUCUUUGGAGAUAUUGUAUAACAUGCAUGUAAGUAACCCAUUAGGUGGACAUCCAAGUGAAGAACUAUUUUAUUAUCAGCACCACUUUAUCAUUGUACAUCAUUGUCCUAUCAUAGAAAUCUAGACGAGAAUAGCAUCACGAGUACGAGUAACGAAUAGAUGACAUGAGGCUCAUCUCUUCCUUGUGUCAAAUAUAUCAGAAAAAAACAAUCAAAUUAAAAGACUGGAUUUUAUUGGUACCCAAGAUUCUUGAGUGUGAUACGAGCAUGUAAUUUUUAGUGGUAAAAUGACAUCUGAGGAGAGCUAGAGAAUUAACAAAUUUGGGUCUUUAGUGUGUCUUUUUUGAGGUUUCUUUCACAGGCGGAUCUUGUUUAUUUUUAUGUAGAGCUCCUCGAAUGCCAUUUCAUGCAAUACAAUGUUUCCUCCUAGCGCUCCGGGAAUGUUGGAUAAAAAUCAUAAUUUUUUUAUUUAGUUUGAUAUUUUUAAUGUACUCUUCAUGAAAGGGUGUAUAUCAGUAUGGGAUCCAAAACACCGACAUCCACAAAUGCAAACUCUUUUAAAGUCAUCCUCUAUUCUUAAAUAGCUAUAACCCACUACCUAUUUUCCAAGCCACGCAACCAUACCAUUUAACCAAGACAUCAAUUGCAUUUUUUCAUUACUCUAUGCAUGAAACAUUGCCACAUCAUUAAUUAAUAUAUGUUAGACAUAAGUUACUUUUGCAUUAGAGUUUAUAUUAAAAAAUAUGUUGGGCGACUGCAGUAUACCUAUGUAAGUUAUCAUCCACCUUUUUUAGAAAUGUCAUUUUAAACUAGUUUCAAGCCAUCCAAGCAUGCCAUGUAAGCAAGACAUGCAUGCAAAGCCAUGAAUUGCAUUUUUUCAUAUAUAUUCAGUUGGAUAUAGGUGAUCAUGAUUCAUUAUAGUUGACAUUAUUGUUGAGAUAAAUAAGUUAGGAGGCGGAACAUAAAGCCCCUAUCUUCCUAUGUGUUUGAUGAAACUGCUUGUUCUAAAAAUAUGCUUUGAGUGUUGAUGUCACCUAUGCUAAUGCACAAAAGUCAUUCCAAUGGCGCCAGAAACGGGUGUGUCGACGGCACCAGGAAUCCUCCAGCUGUGGCUACGCCUUAAGGGACUUCCUAGGCAAGUAUGCAAAGGAUUUCCCCCGUGGCCUUGGAGCCUUGCGUUGGUGUUCCCUUGAAGCGGAAAGGGUGAUGUAGCACAGUGACGGUAACUAUUUCCCUCAGUUUGAGAACCAAGGUAUCAACCCGGUGGAGGAGUAUCACAAGAUCCUGCAUAAACACAAAAGCUUGCUCCCAGCGCUAUGAAGGGGUUGUCAAUCCCUGAUAGAUUGUUUGCCAAGUGAGAAUUGAAAGCAACAAAGUAACAAAGCAAAGUAAAAGCGGAGGUGUAAACGAUGGAUGUGAAUAGACCCGGGGGCCGUAAUGUUUACUAGUGGCUUCUCUCGUGAAAGCAAGUAGACGGUGGGUGAACAAAUUACUGUCGAGCAAUUGAUAGAACCGCGCAAAGUCAUGACGAUAUCUAUGCAAUGAUUAUAUCUAUAGGCAUCACGUCCAAAACAAGUAGACCGAUACUUUCUGCAUCUNCUGCCCACCGCCGCCUCCUCCCUGGUGGCGGAGUGGGGGCUUGUGGGAUCCCUGGAGCCCACCUGGCUUGGCCCAAAGCCCCCCUGAUCUUCUUCCGUUCGGGAAAAAAUCAUUUCGGGGUUUUUCUUCCGUUUGGACUCCGUUCCAAAAUCAGAUCUGAAAAGAGUCAAAAACACGGAAAAAACAGGAACUGGCACUUGGCACAGAAUUAAUAAGUUAGUCCCAAAAAAGAUAUAAAAGGUACAUAAAACAACCAAAGAAGACAAGGUAACAGCGUGAAACCAUCAAAAAUUGUAGAUACGUUUGAAACGUAUCAAGCAUCCCCANNNNNNNNNNNNNNNNNNNNNNNNNNNNNNNNNNNNNNNNNNNNNNNNNNNNNNNNNNNNNNNNNNNNNNNNNNNNNNNNNNNNNNNNNNNNNNNNNNNNNNNNNNNNNNNNNNNNNNNNNNNNNNNNNNNNNNNNNNNNNNNNNNNNNNNNNNNNNNNNNNNNNNNNNNNNNNNNNNNNNNNNNNNNNNNNNNNNNNNNNNNNNNNNNNNNNNNNNNNNNNNNNNNNNNNNNNNNNNNNNNNNNNNNNNNNNNNNNNNNNNNNNNNNNNNNNNNNNNNNNNNNNNNNNNNNNNNNNNNNNNNNNNNNNNNNNNNNNNNNNNNNNNNNNNNNNNNNNNNNNNNNNNNNNNNNNNNNNNNNNNNNNNNNNNNNNNNNNNNNNNNNNNNNNNNNNNNNNNNNNNNNNNNNUUCACACCUUUACUUUCUCAAACCUUUUCAACUCUCACGCAAUACAUGAGCGCGAGCCAUGGUUAUAGCACUAUAGAUGGUGUGGAAUGUGGUGGAGGUUGCAAGACAAAAAGGAGAAGAUAGGCACAUUAACUAGGCAUAUCAAUGAGCUGUGGAGAAGCUCAUCAAUAGAUAUCAAUGUGAAUGAGUAGGUAUUGCCAUACAAAUGAUGCACUAGAGCUACGAGUAUGUGAAAGCUCUUAAAGAAAACUAGUGGGUGUGCAUCCAACUUGCUUGCUCACGAAGACCUAAGGAAAUUUUGAGGAAGCCUAUCAUUGGAAUAUAGAAGACAAGUUAUAUAAUGAAAAUUUCCCACUAGCUAUAUGGUGGUAACAAAACGAGAGACUCUCAAUCAUGAAGAUCAUGGUGCUUAAUAUGCACGAGUGUGGAAAAAGUGGUAGCAUUGUCCCUUCUCUCUUUUUCUCUCAUUUUUUUGGUGGGCUCUUUGGCCUCUUUUUUUCCUCACAUGGGACAAUGCUCCAUUAAUGAUGAUCAUCACACUUUCAACUCAAAACUUAGAGGAACUAUGACUCUAUAUGGAAUGCCUUCGGUAGUGUACCCUGGCAAUGAUCUAGCAUGGCAUAGACAUCAAUGGAAACAUCAUGCUAGCUAUCUUACGAUCAUGCAAUGGCAAUGUAGACGUGGUGGCACAUGCCAUGGUGGUAGUUGCAUGGCAAUAUAUCUCGGAAUGACUUUGAAAAAGCCAUAAUAGUUAGGUAUGGUGGCUGUUUUGAGGGAGGCUAAUGGUGGGUUUUGUGCACCGACGAAAGUUGCACUGCACUAAGAAGAUAGUGAUGGUGGAAGGUGAAAGUGCAUCUAAACCAUGGGCUCAACAAUAGUCAUGAAGAACUCAUAUACUUGUUGCAAAAGUUUUAUUAGUAACCAAAACAAAGCAUUCAACGCAUACUCCUAGGGGAAGGGUUGGUAGGUAUAAACCAUCGCGCGAUCCCGACCGCCAUGCAAAGGAUGACAAUCAAUAUACUAAUCAUGCUCAGAUUUCAUCACAUAGUUGUUCACCAUACGUGCAUGCUACGGGAAUCACUAACUUCAACACAAGUAUUUCUAGAUCCACAACACCUUACUAGCAUGACUUCAAUAUUACCAUAACCACAACUCAAAACUAAUUGAGAUGAAUCAAACUUCUCUAACUAUUCAAUGCACAUGAAGGUGGAAGUUUUCGUAUCCCUUUGGAUAACUACCCCUUUUGAGACUACUUUCAAAGCAUAGAUCAACCACCAAGCCACGCACCUCCGUGCUCUAAAAGAUAUAAGUGAAGCACAUAGAGCAAAAGUAUCUAGCUCAAAAGAUAUAAGUGAAGCACAUGUGAGCUAAAUUGUCUACCAAAAGAUAUAAGUGAAGCUCGACAAAAUCACGGUGUGUGCAUGUCUCUCUCUCUAGGUGUGCAGCAAGGAUGAUUGUGACACAAAAAAAAUUACUCCUACAAUACAAGACGCUCCAAGCAAAAACACAUAACAUGUGGUGAAUAAAAAUAUAGCCCCAAGUAACGUUACCAAUGGAUUGAAGACGAGAGAGGGGAUGCCUUCCCGGGGCAUCCCCAAGCUUAGGCUUUUACGGCAUCCUUGAAUCUCUUGGGGUGCCUUGGGCCUCCCCAAGAUCGAGCUCUUGCCACUCUUUAUCUCUUUGUCCAUAAGAACUUUACCCAAAACUUGAAAACUUCACAACACGAAACUUAAACAGAAACUCGUGAUAUCAUUAGUACAAGAAAGCAAACCACCACUUCCUUAGGUAGUGUAGAAAACUUAAAUUAUACUUGUGCUGAUGUUGGAUUACUGUACUUUCAAUCUUCCAUGGCUAAUACCCCCCGAUACUAUCCAUAGUUUCAUCAAAAUAAGCAACCAACACAACAAAAACAGAAUCUGUUAACAGCAGACCAGUCUGUAGCAAUCUGUAUAUUUCGUAUACCUCUGCUACUUAAACAAUUCUGAAAAAUUACGAAUGUCUGAGGAAUUUGCGUAUAAAUCAGCAGCAAAAAGAAUCAACUCAAAAUAUCUUACAGAAAAAAAAUGAAAAUUCUAUUCAUGAGCAGAAAGUUUCUGUCUUUUCCAGCAUGACCAAACGAUCAUCCCCAAGACUAAUCAUAACGGUUUUGCUUGGCACAAACGCAAAAAGAAACACAAAAAACACAAUCAUAAAAGAAUUAUGAAAGUGCGGGAAACACAAAACAGAAAUAAAAAGGAUAGAUUCGUUGGGUUGCCUCCCAACAAGCGCUUUUGUUUAACGCCCUUAGCUAGGCGAAAGGUGAUGAAAUCACGUGUAGUCAUCUUUGGUGCUCAAACCAUAGGUAGCCCUCAUCAUAGAUUCAUAAGGCAAUCUUAUUUUCUUUCUAGGAAAGUGCUCCAUGCCCUUCCUUAAAGGAAAUUGAAAUCUAAUAUUCCCUUCCUUCAUAUCGAUGAUAGCACCAAUAGUUCUUAGGAAAGGUCUACCAAGAAUAAUGGGACAUGAAGGAUUGCAAUCUAUGUCAAGUACAAUGAAAUACACGGGUACAUAUUUCUUAUUUGCAACAAUAAGAACAUCAUCGAUCCUCCCCAUGGGUUUCUUGACAGUAGAAUCCGCAAGAUGCAAAUUAAGAGAACACUCUUCAAUCUCAUGAAAACCAAGAAUAUCACAUAAAGACUUUGGAAUCGCGGAAACACUAGCACCCAAAUCACACAAAGCAUUGCACUCAUAGUUUUUUAUCUUGAUUUUGAUAGUAGGUUCCCACUCAUCAUGAAGUUUUCUAGGUAUAGAGACUUCUAGUUCGAGCUUCUCUUCAAGAGAUUUCAUCAUAGCAUCUAUGAUAUGCGCGGUAAAGACUUUGCUUUGGCUAUAAGCAUGUGGAGAGUUUGCAAUGGAUUGCAUCAAAGAAAUGCAUUCAAACAAGGAGCAAUUAUCAUAAUUGAAUUCCUUGAAAUCCAAAGUGGGAGUUUCAUUACUACCCAAAAUUUAGACUUCUUCUACUCCACUCUCCACACCUUUAUCAUCAAGAUAGGUGGACUCCGAAUCAUUGGGGCGUUUUUCAAUCAAAGUGGAUUCAUAUCCAGACCCUCCAUAAAUAGGUUUGACACGCGAAAACAAAGAUUCAAGAGCAGACACACCAAGCACUUUAAUAUCUUCGUGAUUUGCAUCACAAAUUUCAGGUUUAGCAACCAUCUUAUUGACUAAGGUAGCCUGCUUGUCAGAAAUUUGGCCCACCAAUUUUUCAAGGUGAGCAACUU